rnacentral:lncRNA from 1 species
UUUUUUUCCGUUACAAAUUGCAUUCAUCAACAAUGUUAGUACAUUCAACUGCUCUUCGUGUGCAUCAGCCAUUUGACACGGUGAUGGCAAAUUCUGGAGUGAAAACAAGGUCUUCUGAGCAGACUAUGCUAUCUGACGAAGAGCAUAUCUCGCUGGUUACGGAUAGCUCCUCAGAGGAGGAUUCAGAGACAGAUGGCCAGUCCUAUUCCCCCCGAGGUGUAUGCUCUAACUUGGCAGGGUUAUGUUGCUCAUAUCGUUUGUAUGGUGUCUCGCAUUGCUAUGCCAUUUGAUUAGUUUAGACAUGCUUUGUGUGAAUGCCACCUGUUAAGUGUCUAAUUACCAUAUAUGUGAAUUAUGCAUUGCCAUCUUGUUGCAAGACAUUAUAUAUGUGAAUUAUACAAUGCUAUCUUGUUGCAAAGGCAUUAUAUAUGUGAAUUAUGCAAUGCCAUGCUGUUUAGCCAAUCAUCAUGUAUGUGAAUUAUAUCAUGCUAUCAUUUUUUUGUAUUACAUGUUCCAUUUGUCGACAACGUUUGUAUAUUCAACUACUCUUCCUAUGGAUCAGCCAUUUGAAGCGGUGAUGGAAGUAUCUGGAGUGAAAACAAGGUAUUCAGAGCAGACAAUGCUACCUGCUGAAGCAGACAUCUUGCUGGCUACAGAGAGCUCCUCAGAGGAGGAUUCAGAGACUGAUGACCAGUCCUAUUCCCCCCUUGAGGUCUAUGCUCAAACUUGGCAGGGUUAUAUUACCCAUGUCAUGCAUGUUGUCUUGCAUUGCUUAGUUUUUACAUCAUAUAUAGAUUGCCAUCUGCUUAAUUGCUUACUAUAUAAAUCAUAUAUUUGAAUUAUAUCAUGCCAUCAUGUUUACAUAGUAUAUACACAUAGGUGAAUAGGCGCUUUAAAAUAAUUACGGUUUAGGCUUGAACAAAUGCGGAAUAAACCUAACGGUUAAUUUUUCAAGCACAAAACCUAAAACAACUAGGCUUACCUAUGUGCACCAACAACUUGUGCUAAGCAAGAUAAGAAACUAUGUGAUAGCAAGAUAUAUGACAAAGAACAAUAUGGCUAUCACAAAGUAAAGUGCAUAAGUAAAGGGCUCGGGUAAGAGAUAACCGAGGCACGCGGAGACGACGAUGUAUCCCGAAGUUCACACCCUUGCGGAUGCUAAUCUCCAUUUGGAGCGGUGUGGAGGCACAAUGCUCCCCAAGAAGCCACUAGGGCCACCGUAAUCUCCUCACGCCCUCGCACAAUGCAAGAUGUCGUGAUUCCACUAAGGGACCCUUGAGGGCGGUCACCGAACCCGUACAAAUGGCGACCCUUGGGGGCAGUCACCGAACCCGUACACUUUAGCAACCCUUGGGGGCGGUCACCGGUACCCGUCAAAUUGCUCGGGGCAAUCUCCACAACCUAAUUGGAGACCCCGACACUUGCCCGGAGCUUUACACCACAAUGAUUGAGCUCCGAACACCACCAACCAUCUAGGGUGCCCAAGCACCCAAGAGGAACAAGCUCAAGGGUACCAAGCACCCAAGAGUAAUAAGCUUCUCAAACUUCACUUCCACGUAUCACCAUGGAGAACUCAAACCUAUGCACCAAAUGCAAUGGCAAGGGCACACGAAGUGCCCAAGUCCUUCUCUCCCAAAUCCCACCGAAGCAACUAAUGCUAGGGAGGAAAAUGAGAGGAAGAAAGAAGAAGAGAACACAAAGAACUCCAAGAUCUAGAUCCAAAGGGUUCCCCUCACAUAGAGGAGAAAGUGAUUGGUGGAAAUGUGGAUCUAGAUCUCCUCUCUCUUUCCCCCAAAAACUAGCAAGAAUCCAUGGAGGGAUUGAGAGUUAGCAAGCUCGAAGAAGGUCAACAAUGGGGGAAGAACACGAGCUUAAGAGAUAAGGUUCAAUGGGGAAGAAGAACCCCUUUUGUAGGUGGGAGAAAAUCCAACCGUUAUGCUCACAACCCGCACAAAGCGGUACUACCGCUCCACGAGCGGUACUACCGCUCGGGCGGAAGAAGUAGGGAAAACGAGCAACAACACAUGAACCUUGGGGCGGUAGUACCGCAUAUAAGCAGUCCGCUCACCCCAGCGGUACUACCGCUCGCGAGCGGUACUACUGCUCCUACUGCCGCUACUACUGCCGCUGAACCCGAGACGAGAAAACCACGUCUCGAGUCGAGGUGGUACCAGCGCGGAACCGGAGCCGUACUAUCGCUUAUGGCCAUGGGCGGUACUACCGCUGUGGGACAGCGGUACAACCCCUUGUGGCGAUAAGCGGUACUGCCGCUCCGGCCCAGCGGUACUACCGCUGGAGCCAACCUUAUGCCACUACCACGAAAACAAAGUAUAUUCCAAGGAAAACCAGAACUGCCAUAUGAGCUCCGAAUUGAGCAAACUCAAGCUUGUUGGAUACAAGACAACGAGUAGCAUCAAAACAGCGAAACCUCCAACAGAGAAGAAUCGGCAUACCCUCCAACAUCGAAAACAUCAUAGAAGAUGGAAGUGAACUCCGUUUUCGAUGAACUCGCGCUUGUCAUAAAAAAGACCAAGAUCUCCAAAUCUCACAAGGAGAAGAACCAAACAAGAACCAAUAAAGAUGAUGCAAGGAUGCAAUGGUUUGAGAUCUCUACGAACGAUACGAUCAAGCAACUCAUUGAGAGACCCCCUUGAUAGUACGACAAUCCAUCCUAUAACCCAGUCUCCCACAACUACCGUGAGACCGGUAAAAUAGAAAACCUAUCAAGGGCAAACCUUUGCCUUGCACAUGAUCCACUUGAGCUAGAUGAUGACGAUCUUCUCCUCCUCAAGAUGGACCACCUUUCUUGAUUUCGUUGGCUCGAUGAAGACUAGUAGAUUGCUCCCCCAUACUCCACUAUGGGUGAGCCACUCUUCUGCACAUCUUCACAAGUCCAUUGUCACCACAAUGGACGGUAAGCUUCAAGCAUAUGAUCUCUUCGUGAUGAUCCUACUUGAACUUGCACACCGCAACCUAACCCCACAAAGAACUCUCACGAAGACCAUGGGUUAGUACACAAAGCGUAAUUGACCAUGCUUACCAUACCAUGGGAUCGCUUGAUCCCUCUCGGUACAUCUUCUAUGCUUUGUGUGUUGAUCAACUUGAUUCAUUCUUUGACUUAGUCUUGAUCAACCUUGAAUCUUUCCAACUCUCUUCAUUUGGAUGAUGUCUUCAAGGUAAACAUGAAUGAUCACACAAUCUUCUUCUUCAUGACAUGCUUGCAAUAAGCUCAACACUCACAUGACCGAUCUUUGGAUAAUUCCUUAAUAGCACCGUGGUCAUCACAAACUCUCCUUGAGACCAACAAAUGGACUCCAAGAUAAGCCUAUGGACAAACCCUUCAAAUAUAACUCAAGGCAACCAUUAGUCCAUAGAGAUUGUCAUCAAUUGCCAAAACCAAACAUGGGGGCACCGCAUGUUCUUUCACACAUCAUCUAUCUGAAUUAUGGCAUGGCAACCCAUUUAAUAAAGACAUCAUAUAGUUAUAUCAUCUCAUCCUGUUUAGUGUUUACAAUCAUCAUAUUUAGAAUUAUGGCAUUCUAUCCAUGAAUGUAUGUGAAUUAUGGCAUGCCAACCUAUUUAAUAAACACAUUAUAUAGUUAUGUCAUGUCAUCCUGUUUACAUAGUCUCAUAUUUUGAACUAUGUCUUUCCAUCUUUUUUAGUUAGCCAUCAUAAUGUGAAAAUGUGUCAUGCUAUCCUAUUUAGUUAGCCAUCAUAUAUGUGAAAUUGUGUCAUGCUAUCCUGUUUGGUUAGACAACAUAAAUAUGAAUUAUUUCAUGCCCUCUUUUAUUCCCAACUAUCCAUUGCACCUGUCUAUGAUACAAUGUCUAUACUUUCAAUUACUUUUCUUGUUUAUCAGCCAUUUGAAUUGGAGAGCGUGAUGGCAGUAUCUAAGGGAGUAACAACACUGUCUUCAGAAAACAUAGUGCUACCAGUUGAUGCAGAUAGAACUACGGUUGUACUUGCCCAAGGACCAGAUCCACCACACAUAACCCAGACUCUCGCAGAUUGUACCCCUACCCAGUUGGACAGAGAACCAGCUACACCCCUUUUAACCCCAACCCCGGGAGACAGUAACCCAGUUCCAGUUGACACAACACCGUCUCCACCACAGAGCACCCAAACAUGAGCGGUUAGUAAGGGAACUGCAAUGCCCAAAGCACGAGGACCACCACCCCGAAUCCCAACUCAAUGCUUAAAGGAGAAGAAGAUUUGUUCUCAGGUCAGGUUCUGUAGCUAUGCUUCAUACUCCUUUGCUCUUGCAUUACUGUAUUUACUCAUACCAACUAUUUUCAAAUUUGAAGGAUGGAAUUGAAACUCCAAUGACGCAACAGGUAUGUUUUAAACCUGUUUCUUUAACUGGUUUGUUGUUGUAACCUUCUCUAUGUUGAUUUCAGUUUCAAUUGAAUAAAUAGUUAUGUUCUCAUGUCAUGCACAUUACAAGUGUUGUUAUUGCUCUAUAGUUACCCACACUUAUAUUCUGUCUAUUCUGCUUUGUCUUGAACAAAUAUUAUUUGAACUGUGUCUCUAUCUUGAUUUGGCAACAAAAACUAGAAUGAUAUAGACCAUAAAGUGACCAUGGCACAUAGAUAUAUGUUUGUUUCAUGCUGUUAUCCUGUCCACUUUACUACUGAACUCAUUUACCAAAAUGAGUUUCAUAUACAACAUGGUAAACAUGUGAUGUGUCUGCUUGUUUCUCUUUUAGAAUGCGGACAAAAUAUUGGAGAACAGUACCGCGUUAUCCAAUGGUAAAGGAAGUAAUGCAGAUAAGGUUCAAGAUAGUGAGACAUUCCUGUUGGUCUUCAAGAAAGCUGAUAAAAACUAUCUUGACGAUAGUGAGGGAACCCAAAAGUCUUGUCUUGAUGUAGUGUUCGAGUUACUGGCCACUACUGCUGGCACAAGCUCUUCGAACUCGCUGCGUGAAUAAGUUCAUCUUAUUGAGUCUCAACUUCAAGUUGAAAGACAUCGAUCAGAUGUGCUGCGACAGGAAGCUGAAGGACUGAGGAAGUCCCUGCAGAAUCCAUAUGCAUAUUUUCUGGUGCAACAGCAAGCGCUGGAGGAUUUAAGCGCCAAACAAGAGAAAGUUAAUAAGCUUGCUAAGCAUCUUGCCAGCAUUAUGGGUACCCAGGAUAUUGUUUCUUGAGAUCUUCUGAAGUGGUUUCAGUUCUGGAUUUGUUUUGCUGUGGUGUUUAUUUGCGCUAGUCGCCAACUUUGACAACCAGUGUAUAUGAUAUGCUGCUUUGUUCCCUAUAUUUGCACUGGUGGCGAACGUUGAUGCCCAGUGGAUGUAAUAUGUGUAACAGCCAUGAUAACCUAGCAUAAGUUGCUUGCUUAUUUAUUUCCUUGCUGUCUUGUUUAUUUGUUUGCUUGUAGUCAGUGCAGUUCUUUUUAGGCCACAAUAACGAUGGGCUAAUAUUUACUGUAGUGACACUGGGCCUCCUACGGGCCGUAGAAACAGUGGGCCUUCUACGGGCCGUAGAAACAGUGGGCCUUCUACGGGCCGUAGAAACAGUAGGCCCUCUAUGGGCCGUAGAAACAAUGGGCCUUGUACGGGCCGUAGAAACAAUGGGCCUUGUACGGCCGUAGAAACAAUGGGCCUUCUACGGGCCAAGAAACAAUGGGCCUUCUAUGGGCCGUAUCAUCAAUGGGCCUUAUACGGCCCAGAUGACCAUAACGGGCCAUCGUUAAUAGGCCGUAUUUGAUGACGCUAUGAAAACGACCCAACGUAUUAACGGACCACAAACAGGCCGAUGUAACCACGGGCUGAAUUUGGCCCACAAGCAGAAAAUGACAGUAACGGGUCGUAAGUAAACGAAUGCUGGAAAUGAGCCCAAGAAUAAAUGGGCUCUGAGAAGGUCGAAAGAUAACAUUUGCUGGAAACGGCCCAACUGAAUAACGGGCCCUUAAUGGGUAUAAAGUGAUAUACUGUUCAUUACGGGCCAGUUUCACCACGGGCCGUUAGUGGGUGUAAAGUGAUACACUGUUCAUUGCGGGCCAGUUUCACCAUGGGCCGUUAAUAGGCCAAGAGUUAUAUAGGGCCUCAUAUGGGCCGAAAGACGUCAUGGGCCAUACAUGGGCCAGAAGUGAAAACGGGCUGGAAUCAUAUUGGAUGGCCCAGAUGACGCUACUGGGCCUAAUUCGGAUAGAGCGUAACGGGCCUUGGGUUAGCGGGCUGUAAAUGGGCUAUAUGCGAACAUGCCAUUAACAGGCUUUCCAUGGGCCGGCCCGCCACCUUUUGACCAAGUCAAACGGGCCGGCCUUUUCACAGGAAUGGGCCUCUGUUGGGCCGUGCCACGUGUCGACGUAUCAUAGGCGCCUUCUGUCCAAUGAGUGGAUGACAUCUGUCCCAACGGUGAGCCGACACGUGUUUCCUCCAGCCAAUGAUGAUUUUACACGUGGAAAAUCCCCAUUGGUCGGGGCUGUUAACGGGUUAUCGGAUCCAAAACCCGACCCGAUAGCUUAACAACGUUCCGUUACGGUGGAUGCCACGUGUUGGUCACCCUUGACGAAAGCAUUUCUGUGACGCGCGAUUUAUCGUCAUGGAAGUGGACACUUCCGUGAUGAUAAUUUUGGUAAUGUCAUCGAACACUUCUACAACAGCACAGGUAUGACUAUCUUGAUUCUGUCAUAAAUUUGUCAUGAAUGUACAUGCAUGACAAAAAACGCGACCUACUGUGACAAACACGUAUCAUCAUGGAAGUGUAUUUUUUUGUAGUGUGCUACGAGACAGUACCUGGGUUGUGACAGUUUUUUAGGCAGAACACACGCACCAACUGAUGUUGCAGAGGGGGCGUCGGAGAUUUUGCCAUUCUCACGGAAAGAUCUCGGAUGCGGUCAUGCAAUAUAUCACCUCGCCGCACUAUUGCAACAUAUCAACAGAAAAUAUGAUGGGCUUGCUUGGAGAUGCACGGUGUUGCGAUCCAAGAAGUUUUCCGUAUGUGAAGACUGAUGUGACAAAUGCAAGAGCAAACUUGCGAAAGGGCCCGUCAGAGCGUGAUUUGGAGCUCACCAUCGAGUACUUUAAGAGAAGACAAGUGGAGAACCCCAACUUCUUUUUUUCCAAACUAGAAGAAGAUGGAUCUGUUAGGGUGCUUUUGUGGGUUGAUGGAAGAACAAGGGACUUGUAUCCAAAGUACAAGAAUUGUGUGUGUUUUGACACCACAUUCUGCACAAAUCACUACAACCUUCCCUUUGCGCCGAUUGUUGGCAUUAACAACCAUACACACACCAUUUGUUUAGCAUGUGCUUUGCUACCUGAUGAGACCAUUGGAACUUUCAAGUGGGUGUUCCAACAAUGGAUGUUGGCAAUGAAUAACGAACAUCCAUUGAACAUAAUGACUGAUCAAGACCAGGCAAUGGCUACAACCAUCUCAAUGGUAUUCCCAGAUUCAACACAUAUAUGUUGCAAGUGGCACGUCUUCCGGGUUGCAAGAACAAAGCUAGUGAAGAUGUUGGGCAAGGAUGAGCCUUUUGCCAAUGCAUUCUAUGGUUGCAUCAAUGGUUUAGAUACCGUUGAGGAGUUUGAAGGAAGGUGGCAGCAGAUGGUCGAGUUAUUUGGUGUGGCUGAUAAGAAACACCUCAAAAACAUGUGGAACACCAGGGAGAUGUGGGUUCCUGUGUACUUUAGGCAUAAGCUCUUCCCAUUCACGGGCACAACGGGGUGGUCUGAGGGCCUGAAUUCCUACUUCAAGACUUGAAAUCAUCAUGGAGACUCGGUCUGGAGGUUUGUGCAACAAUUUGAGCUUUUCCAGGGGACAAUGCUGGCUUCAUCAAUGAAACGAUGAGGCCACCACUAUGGGGAAAGUAAGUCCUAGUCAUGUAGCAUUUUUUUAGUUUCUUUGGGGUAUCUUUUUUUGUUGUUGUUUUCCAGUACAUUUUGGUUGCAGCAUCUCUUUGAAACAUAUGUAACAGUUCUUAUUGAUGCUGGAAGAUUUUUUGUUUGCAGUUACAACAUUGAAAAGCAGGCUGCAGAAUUCUAUACCAGAGAGGUAUUUUCCAAGUUCCAAAAACUAUUGGCUAAAUCAGCAGGCUUUGGGCUACAAUAUCAGGUGCAAGGGGAUGCCAUCUGGUUUUGCCAUGUUGCAAAUGAUGGAGUCAACCCUAAAUUAUACACGGUGCAUGUUGCCCUUGAAGAUUAAUACGUCCAUUUUGCAUCAUGCUUUUAUAUCAAUAUUUAUUGCAUUAUGGGCUGUUAUUACACGUUAUUUCACAAUACUUAUGGUAUUCUCUCUUAUUUUACAAGGUUUAUCAUGAAGAGGGAGAAUGCCGGCAGCUGGAAUUCUAGCUGGAAAAGGAGCAAAUAUUGGAAACAUGUUCUGCACAGCUCCAAAAGGCCUGAAACUCCACGAAAGUCAUUUUUGGAAUUAAUAAGAAUUAUUGAGCGAAGAAAGUACCAUAGGGGGCCCACAACCUGGCCAGGAGGGUGGGCCCCCCUAUUGGGCGCGCCCCCUGUCUCCUGGGCCCCCUGCUAGCCCUCCGGUGCCCAUCUUCUGCUAUAUGAAGGCUUUUACCCUAGAAAAAAUCAUAAGAAAGCUUAUGGGAUGAAACUCCGCUGCCACGAGGCGGAACCUUGGCGGAACCGAUCUAGGGCUCCGGCGGAACUGUUCUACCGGGGAAACUUCCCUCCGGGAGGGGGAAAUCAUCACCAUCGUCAUCACCAACGAUCCUCUCACCGGGAGGGGGUCAAUCUCCAUCAACAUCUUCACCAGCACCAUCUCCUCUCAAAACCCUAGUUCAUCUCUUGUAUCCAAUUUUGUAUCAAAACCACAAAUUGGUACCUGUGGGUUGCUAGUAGUGUUGUGAUUACUCCUUGUAGUUGAUGCUAAUUGGUUUACUUGGUGGAAGAUCAUAUGUUCAUAUCCUUAAUGCAUAUUAAUACUCCUCUGAUCAUGAACAUGAAUAUGCUUUGUGAGUAGUUACGUUUGUUCCCGAGGACAUGGGUGAAGUCUUGCUAUUAGUAGUCAUGUGAAUUUGGUAUUCGUUCGAUAUUUUGAUGAGAUGUAUGUUGUCUUUCCUCUAGUGGUGUUAUGUGAACGUCGACUACAUGACACUUCACCAUUAUUUGGGCCUAGAGGAAGGCAUUGGGAAGUAAUAAGUAGAUGAUGGGUUGCUAGAGUGACAGAAGCUUAAACCCUAGUUUAUGUGUUGCUUCGUAAGGGGCUGAUUUGGAUCCAUUAGUUUUAUGCUAUGGUUAGGUUUACCUUAAUACUUAUUUUGUAGUUGCGGAUGCUUGCAAUAGGGGUUAAUCAUAAGUGGGAUGCUUGUCCAAGAAAGGGCAGUACCCAAGCACCGGUCCACCCACAUAUCAAAUUAUCAAAGUAAUGAACGCGAAUAAUAUGAGCGUGAUGAAAACUAGCUUGAUGAUAAUUCCCAUGUGUCCUCGGGAGCGCUUUUCUCAUUAUAAGAAAUUGUCCAGGCUUGUCCUUUUCUACAAAAAGGAUUGGGCCACCUUGCUGCACUUUAUUUACUUUCAUUCCUUGUUACCUGUUACAAAUUAUCUUAUCACAAAACUAUCUGUUACCAACAAUUUCAGUGCUUGCAGAGAAUACCUUACUGAAAACUGCUUGUCAUUUCCUUCUGCUCCUCGUUGGGUUCGACACUCUUACUUAUUGAAAGGACUGCGAUUGAUCUCCUGUACUUGUGGGUCAUCAAGACUCUUUUCUGGCGCCGUUGCCGGGGAGUGAAGCGCCUUUGGUAAGUGGAACUUGGUAAGGAAACAUUUAUAUAGUGUGCUGAAAUUUUCUGUCACUUGUUACUAUGGAAACUAAUCCUUUGAGGGGCUUGUUCGGGGUAUCUUUGCCCCGACCAGUAGAGCAAAGAGUUUCUCCUCAACCUACUGAACCUACUGAAAAUGUUUACUUUGAGAUUCCUUCGGGUAUGAUAAAGAAACUGCUAGCUAAUUCCUUUGCAGGAGAUGAAACAUUGCAUCCCGAUUUACACCUUAUCUUUAUGGAUGAAGUUUGUGGAUUAUUUAAGUUUGCAGGUAUUUCCGAUGAUGUUGUUAAGAGGAAGGUCUUUCCUUUAUCUUUGAAGGGAGACGCAUUGACAUGGUAUAGGCUAUGUGAUGAUACGGGAUCUUGGAACUAUAAACGAUUGAAGUUGGAAUUUCACCAGAAGUUCUAUCCUAUGCAUCUUGUUCAUCGUGAUUGUAAUUACAUAUAUAAUUUCUGGCCUCGUGAAGGAGAAAGCAUCGCUCAAGCUUGGGGGAGGCUUAAGUCAAUGUUAUAUUCAUGCCCCAAUCAUGAGCUCUCAAGAGAAAUGAUUAUUCAAAAAUUUUAUGCUCGGCUUUCUCUCAAUGAUCGCACCAUGCUUGAUACUUCCUGUGCUGGUUCUUAUAUGCUGAAGACUACUGAAUUCAAGUGGGAUUUAUUGGAAAUAAUUAAAUGCAACUCUGAAGACUGGGGUUCCGACGAUGGUAAGGAGUCAGGUAUGACACCUAAGUUUGAUUGUGUUAAAUCUUUUAUGGAUACCGAUGCUUUUCAUAGAUUUAGCGCUAAAUAUGGACUUGACUCUGAGAUAGUAGCUUCUUUCUGUGAAUCUUUUGCUGCUCACGUUGGUCUCCCUAAGGAGAAGUGGUUUAAAUAUAAUCCUCCCAUAGAAGUAAAUGCAGUUGCACCUAUUACAGUUGAAGGAAAGACUAUUACUUAUAAUGAUCCUAUUGUUCCUGCUACUUAUGUUGAGAAACCACCUUUUCUUGUUAGGAUAAAGGAUCAUGCUAAAAAUUCAACUGUGGUUCGUAAGAGUAAUGCUAGAACAUAUACACCUCCUGAGCAAAUCAAAGUUGAACCUAGUAUUGCUAUGGUUAAAGAUCUCUUGGAUGAUAAUAUAGAUGGACAUGUUAUUUACUUCUGUGGUGAAACAACUAAUAUUGCUAGACCAGAUGCUAAGAUACAUAGACCUGUUGUAGGCAUGCCUGUUAUUUUGUUAAAAUAGGAGAUCAUUGUUACCAUGGCUUAUGUGAUAUGGGUGCCAGUGCUAGUGCAAUACCUAUUUCCCUAUAUAAAGAAAUUAUGCAUGAUAUUGCACCCGGUGAGUUAGAAGAUAUUGAUGUUACAAUUAAGCUUGCCAAUAGAGAUACUAUUAAGCCAUUUGGGAUUGUUAGAGAUGUCGAAGUCUUGUGUGGGAAAGUUAAAUAUCCUGCUGAUUUUCUAGUUCUUGGUUCCCCACAAUAUAGCUUUUGUCCCAUUAUAUUUGGUAGACCCUUCUUGAAUACUGUUAAUGCUAAGAUUGUUUGUGAAAAGGAUGUUGUUACAAUUGGCUUGGGGAUAUGAAACAUGAGUUUAAUUUUGCUAAAUUUCGUAGACAACCCCAUGAUAAAGAAUUGCCUAGUAAGGAUGAAAUUAUUGGUCUUGAUUCUAUUGCCGUGCCUCCUACUGAUCCGUUAGAACAAUAUUUGCUAGACCAUGAAAAUGAUAUGUUUAUGAAUGAAAAAGGGAAGUAGAUGAAGUAUUCCUUCAACAGGGUCCUAUUCUGAAACACAACUUACCUGUUAAAAUCCUAGGGGAUCCCCCUCCACCCAAGGGUGAUCCUGUGUUUAAGCUCAGACCAUUACCUAAUAAUCUUAAAUAUGCCUAUCUUGAUGAAAAGAAGAUAUAUCCUGUUAUUAUUAGUGCUAACCUUUCAGAGCAAGAAGAUGAAAGAUUAUUGAAAACUCUGAAGAAGCACCGUGCUGCUAUUGGAUAUACUCUGGAUGAUCUUAAGGGAAUUAGUCCCACUCUAUGCCAACACAAAAUAAAAUUGGAGAAAGAUGCCAAACCAGUUAGAGAUCCUCAACGACAGUUAAAUCCUAAGAUGAAAGAAGUGGUAAGAAAGGAGAUAUUAAAGCUCCUUGAGGCAGGUAUAAUUUAUCCCGUUACUGAUAGUGAUUGGGUAAGUCCUAUCCAUUGCGUCCCUAAGAAGGGAGGUAUUACUAUUGUUCCUAAUGAUAAAUAUGAAUUGAUCCUGCAAAGAAUUAUUACAGGUUAUAGGAUGGUAAUUGAUUUCCGCAAAUUAAGUAAAGCUACUAAGAAGGAUCAUUACCCUUUACCUUUUAUUGAUCAAAUGCUAGAAAGACUAUUCAAACAAACACAUUUCUGCUUUCUAGAUGGUUAUUCUGGCUUUUCUCAAAUACCUGUGUCAGCAGAGGAUCAAUCAAAAAACUACUUUUACUUGCCCUUUCGGUAUUUUUGCUUAUAGACGUAUGCCUUUUGGAUUAUGUAAUGCACCUGCUACCUUUCAAAGAUGCAUGAUGUCUAUAUUCUCUAACUUUUGUGAAAAGAUUUGUGAGGUAUUCAUGGAUGAUUUCUCCGUUUAUGGAUCCUCUUUUGAUGAUUGCUUGAGCAACCUUGAUCGAGUUUUGCAGAGAUGUGAAGACACUAGUCUCUUCUUGAAGGAAAAGUGUUACUUUAUGGUUAAUGAAGGCAUUGUCUUGGGGCAUAAAAUUUCUGAAAGAGGUAUUGAAGUUGAUAAAAGCUAAAGUUGAUGCUAUUGAAAAGAUGCCAUGUCCCAAGGACAUUAAAGGUAUAAGAAGUUUCCUUGGUCAUGCAGGUUUUUAUAGGAGGUUCAUUAAGGACUUUUCUAAAAUCUCUAGGCCUCUGACUCAUUUAUUGCAAAAAGAUAUUCCUUUUGUCUUUGAUGAUGAUUGUGUAGAAGCAUUUGAAAUACUUAAGAAAGCUUUGAUCACUGCACCUAUUGUUCAGCCACCUGAUUGGAACUUACCCUUUGAAAUUAUGUGUUAUGCUAGUGAUUAUGCUGUAGGUGUUGUCCUAGGGCAAAGAGUUGAUAAGAAAUUAAAUGUUAUCCAGUAUGCUAGUAAAACUCUUGAUAUUGCCCAGAGAAAUUAUGCUAUUACUAAAAAAGAAUUCUUAACAGUUGUAUUUGCAUGUGAUAAGUUCAGACCUUAUAUUGUUGAUUCUAAAGUAACUAUUCACACUGAUCAUGCUGCUAUUAAAUAUCUUAUGGAAAAGAAAGAUGCUAAACCUAGACUUAUUAGAUGGGUUCUCUUACUCCAAGAAUUUGAUUUGCAUAUUAUUGAUAGAAAGGGAGCUGAGAACUCCGUUGCAGACAACUUGUCUAGGUUAGAGAAUGUUCUUGAUGACCCACUACCUAUUGAUGAUAGCUUUCCUAACGAACAAUUAGCGGUCAUUAAUGCUUCUCGUAUUGCUCCAUGGUAUGCUGAUUAUGCUAAUUACAUUGUUGCUAAAUUUAUACCACCUAGUUUCACAUACCAGCAAAAGAAAAAGUUUUUUUAUGAUUUAAGACAUUACUUUUGGGAUGACCCACACCUUUAUAAAGAAGGAGUAGAUGGUGUUAUUAGACGUUGUGCACCUGAGCAUGAACAGGAAUAGAUCCUACGCAAGUGUCACUCCGAACCAUAUGGAGGACACCACGCUGGAGACAGAACUGCACAUAAGGUAUUGCAAUCCGGUUUUUAUUGGCCUACUCUCUUCAAAGAUGCCCGUAAGUUUGUCUUGUCUUGUGAUGAAUGUCAAAGAAUUGGUAAUAUUAGUAGACGUCAAUAAAUGCCUAUGAAUUAUUCUCUUGUUAUUGAACCAUUUGAUGUUUGGGGCUUUGAUUAUAUGGGACCUUUUCCUGCCUCUAAUGGUAUACACAUAUUUUAGUUGCUGUUGAUUACGUUACUAAGUGGGUAGAAGUUAUUCCAACUAGUAGUGCUGAUCAUAACACUUCUAUUAAGAUGCUUAAAGAAGUUAUUUUCCCGAGGUUUGGAGUCCCUAGAUAUCUCAUGACUCAUGGUGGUUCACAUUUUAUUCAUGGUGCUUUUCGUAAAAUGCUUACUAAGUAUGAUGUUAAUCAUAGAAUUGCAUCUCCUUAUCACCCACAGUCUAGUGGUUAGGUAGACUUGAGUAAUAGAGAGCUCAAAUUAAUUUUGCAAAAGACUGUUAAUAGAUCUAGAAAGAAUUGGUCCAAGAAACUUGAUGAUGCAUUAUGGGCCUAUAGAACUGCAUAUAAAAAUCCUAUGGGUAUGUCCCCAUAUAAGAUGGUUUAUGGAAAGGCAUGUCACUUACCUCUUGAACUUGAACAUAAGGCAUAUUGGGCUAUUAAAGAGCUCAACUAUGAUUUCAAACUUGCCGGUGAGAAGAGGUUAUUUGAUAUUAGCUCACUUGAUGAAUGGAGAACCCAAGCAUAUGAGAAUGCCAAGCUAUUCAAAGAAAAGGUUAAAAGAUGGCAUGGCAAAAGAAUACAAAAGCGAGAAUUUAACAUAGGUGAUUAUGUGUUGCUAUUCAACUCUCAUUUAAGAUUUUUUGCAGGAAAACUUCUCUCUAAAUGGGAAGGUCCUUACGUUAUCGAGGAGGUCUAUCGUUCCGGUGCCAUAAAAAUCAACAACUUCGAAGGCAGAAGUCUGAAGGUGGUGAACGGUCAAAGAAUCAAACAUUAUAUCUUAGGUAAUCCUAUAAAUGUUGAAACUAAUAUUGUUGAAACCGUAACCCCGGAGGAAUACAUAAGGGACACUUUCCAGAACGUUUCAGACUCUGAAAAGGAAUAGGUAUGUGGUACGGUAAGUAAACCGACUCCAAAACAAUUCUAAUGGCAAUUUUUCUCUGUUUUGGAAUAUUUAAGAAUUUUGGAAAGCAAGAAGUAAUCCGGGAAGGACACGAGGCCUCCACGAGGGUGGAGGGCACGCCCCCUUGUCUUGUGGGCAUCUCGUGUGCCUCCUAGACUCUGUUUUCUUGCAUGUUACUUCUUUUGGUCAGUAAAAAUUCACUAUAUAAUCCCCCGAAGGCUUUGACCACCAUAUCACGCAAAAAUCUUCUGUGUUUGUUUUGAGCUGUUUCUGCCACAGACUAGAGCAAUAUGUCGUCCCAGGAUUCGGAAGGAUAAAGCUAUGUGGACGAUUACCUUGCAGACCCUAAAGUCUACGGGGACUUGGAUCAUUGUGGCUGGACCACUGAGGAAGAAGAAGACUACAAGCCUAAGGGAAAGGAGGAGACGAGCUCAGACGAAGAUGAAGUCCCGUUACCUCAACCUGGGGACAUACAUGUGGAGUUUAAAAAGUCAAGCCUCCCUGAUAGGGCAAAGAAUCCCAAGAUCGAGUUUAUCCCUUUUUGUCUCUUGCAGGAAAACAAACAGGAACUAUGUAGAAGGAUAUUAAGUCUUGAGCGGGAGAUCGAUGAUCUAAGGGAGCAAAAUUCCAUUCUCAAGCGCAAGUUGAGGAGGAAGCCUACAUCAUCGUCACCACCUUCAUCACCUUCGAGGAAAUAAUCACAUGGGUAUGGGCACUCCCCUUGGCAACUGCCAAGCUUGGGGGAGGUGCCCCAGUAUCGUAUCGCCAUCACACUCCUAUAUUUACCGUUUUACUAAGUUCGAUCCUUUUAGUAAUAUCUAGAUCUAGUAGAUUGAAGUUUUGGCAUGAAUUAGUUUUGAGUUUUGCUUUGAUCUUUCUAUGUAAUCGAGUCCGUAAGCUAUAUAAUAAAGAUUAGUGUUGAGUCAAGGGCUUUCCUAUCUUGCUAUGAUCUUGAGAAAGUAGAAAGAAUAUAAAGAAUAAAAGAGUUCAUAUUGAUCUUAUGGAUAGUAAGGACUUCACAUAUAAAGAGUAUGAGGCUUAAAAGUUGUUGAGAGUUGACAAACAUAGUUUUGGUCAUCAUUGCAAUUAAUAGGAAGUCAUAAAGAAAGAGAGGUUCUCACAUAUAAAUAUACUAUCUUGGACAUCUUUUAUAAUUGUGAGCACUCAUUAAGGUAUGACAUGCUAAAGAGUUGAUGUUGGACAAGGAAGACAACAUAAUGGGUUAUGUUUUCUCACAUCUCAGUUAAAGUAUAUUGUCAUGGAUCAUUCAAACAUGUUGAGCUUGCCUUUUCCCCUCAUGCUAGCCAAACUUCCUUGCACCAAGUAGAGAUACUACUUGUGCUUCCAAAUAUCCUUAAACCCAGUUUUGCCAUGAGAGUCCACCAUAUCUACCUAUGGAUUGAGUAAGAUCCUUCAAGUAAGUUGUCAUGUUGCAAGCAAUAAAAAUUGCUCUCUAAAUAUGUAUGACUUGUUAGUGCGGAGAAAAUAAGCUUUAUAUGAUCGUGUGAUAUGGAAGUAAUAAAAGCGACGGACUGCAUAAUAAAGGUUCAUAUCACAAGUGGCAAUAUAAAGUGACGUUCUUUUGCAUUAAGAUUUUGUGCAUCCAACCCUAAAACCACAUGACAACCUCUGCUUCCCUCUGCGAAGGGCAUAUCUUUACUUUAGGUCUCUACUUUAUGCAAGAGUCAAGGUGAUCUUCACCUUUCCCUUUUUCAUUUUAUCCUUUGGCAAGCACCUCGUGUUGGAAAGAUCUGAUAUAUAUAUAUACAUAUAUAUAUAUAUAUCCAAUUGGAUGUAAGUUAGCAUGAACUAUUAUUGUUGACAUCACCCAAAGGUGAAUACGUUGGGAGGCAACACUAUAAGCCCCUAUCUUUCUCAGUGUCCGAUUAAAACUCCAUAACCAUAAGUAUUGCGUGAGUGUUAGCAAUUGUAGAAGACCAUAUGAUAGUUGAAUGUGGACUUGCUGAAAAGCUCUAUUCUUGACUCUUUCUGAUGUUAUGAUAAAUUGCAAUUGCUUCGAUGACUGAAAUUAUAGUUUGCUAGUUCUCAAUGAAGUUUCUGAAUCAUACUUGACAUUGUGAAUAGAUUGUUACUUGAGCAUAAGAAAUCAUAUGACAAAAUACUUAUAUGUUGCUGUUAUAAGAAUGAUCAUGAUGCCUUCAUGUCCGUAUUUUAUUUUUAUCGACACCUCUAUCUCUAAACAUGUGGAGAUAUUUUUCGAUAUCGGCUUCCGCUUGAGGACAAGCGAGGUCUAAGCUUGGGGGAGUUGAUACGUCCAUUUUGCAUCAUGCUUUUAUAUCGAUAUUUAUUGCAUUAUGGGUUGUUAUUACACGUUAUGUCACAAUACUUAUGGCUAUUCUCUCUUAUUUUACAAGGUUUAUCAUGAAGAGGGAGAAUGCCGACAGCUGGAAUUCUGGCUGGAAAAGGAGCAAAUAUUGGAAACCUAUUAUGUACAGCUCCAAAAGUCCUGAAACCCCACGAAAGUCAUUUUUGGAAUUAAUAAGAAUUAUUGAGCGAAGAAAGUACCAAAGGGGGCCCACACCCUGGCCAGGAGGGUGGGGGCGCGCCCCCCUACUGGGCGCGGCCCCCUGUCUCCUAGGCCCCCUGGUGGCCCACCGGUGCCCAUCUUCUGCUAUAUGAAGGUUGUUACCCUGGGAAAAAAUCAUAAGCAAGCUUACGGGACGAAACUCCGCCGCCAUGAGGCGGAACCAAUCUAGGGCUCCGACGGAGCUGUUCUGCCGGGGAAACUUCCCUCCGGGUGGGGAAAAUCAUCACCAUCGUCAUCACCAACAAUCGUCUCAUCUGGAGGAGGUUAAUCUCCAUCAACAUCUUCACCAGCACCAUCUCCUCUCAAAACCCUAGUUCAUCUCUUGUAUCCAAUUUUGUAUCAAAACCACAAAUUGGUACCUAUGGGUUGCUAGUAGUGUUGAUUACUCCUUGUAGUUGAUGCUAAUUGGUUUACUUGGUGGAAGAUCAUAUGUUCAGAUCCUUAAUGCAUAUUAAUACUCCUCUGAUCAUGAACAUGAAUAUGCUUUGUGAGUAGUUACGUUUGUUCCUGAGGACAUGGGUGAAGUCUUGCUAUUAGUAGUCAUGUGAAUUUGGUAUUCGUUCGAUAUUUUGAUGAGAUGUAUGUUGUCUCUCCUCUAGUGGUGUUAUGUGAACGUCGACUACACGACACUUCACCAUUAUUUGGGCCUAGAGGAAGGCAUUAGGAAGUAAUAAGUAGAUGAUGGGUUGCUAGAGUGACAGAAGCUUAAACCCUAGUUUAUGCGUUGCUUCGCAAGGGGCUGAUUUGGAUCCAUUAGUUUCAUGCUAUGGUUAGGUUUACCUUAAUACUUCUUUUGUAGUUGCGGAUGCUUGCAAUAGGGGUUAAUCAUAAGUGGGAUGCUUGUCCAAGAAAGGGCAGUACCCAAGCACCGGUCCACCUACAUAUCAAAUUAUCAAAGUAACGAACACGAAUCAUAUGAGCAUGAUGAAAAGUAGCUUGACGAUAAUUCCCAUGUGUCCUCGGGAGCGCUUUUCUCAUUAUAAGAAAUUGUCCAGGCUUGUCCUUUGCUACAAAAAGGAUUGGGCCACCUUGCUGCACUUUAUUUACUUUCAUUGCUUGUUACCCGUUACAAAUUAUCUUAUCACAAAACUAUCUGUUACCUACAAUUUCAGUGCUUGCAGAUAAUACCUUACUGAAAACCGCUUGUCAUUUCCUUCUGCUCCUCGUUGGGUUCCACAGUCUUACUUAUCGAAAGGACUACGAUAGAUCCCCUAUACUUGUGGGUUAUCAAAGAUCAGACAUACAUGUGCAGCUGCGACAUCUUUGAGAUGUGAGGGCUGGUCUACCCACAUAUCAUCCGUGUCAUGGUGCACCUGAACAUGCAAAACAUACCUGCGACUUACAUGCUUCUGAGAUGGCCUAAGAGAGCAACUACCCUUGCACCUGAACCGGGCCAUGGGCAUAGAGCUAUGCACUUUAGCGCCCCCACAACAAACACCCUAAAGUUCAACUCUCUCUGCCCGAAGUUUGGCAACCUUGCUUCUGAUGCAUGCUUCAGUGAUGAAGCUUAUAAUUCCGUCCCUGGCCUAAUUGAGUAGGGCACUAUUGGGGUUGCUGCAAUGAAAGCUAGAGCAAGGGAUGGGGUUGCAGUAGAUGAAGAAGCCCAAGGUCAUGAAGCAAAUGAACAAACGCGGGCUUCAGGGGGUCCAAAUACAGGGUGCCGGGGAAAACUGAUCCACGGACACCUAUGGGGCCGGCGGACCGAGCCCCUUUCGGUUCGGCGGGGGGCGGAGGUCGCACGAAGAGCGGAUUGGGGGCGAAGCACACGAGCGGUUUACCCAGCUUCGGAGCUCUCCGGAGAGAUAAUACUCCUACUGCUGCAUGUCUGAUUGUAUUGAGUUCUUGCUUGGGAGCGCUGAGUGCUACAGUACACUCUAGCUGCUAAUGAGACCGAGCAUGAGUGUUCUCUGGCUUCGAACCCCCCUCUACGUUGCGCAUGGGCCUCCUUUUAUAUGCUCAAGGGGUCACCGACAGGUGGCAACGUAGAAGGUAAAAAUGGAAAGGUGUUGCGGUUGGUACAACUACCUGUAUAGUGUAUCAUACCUAACCUUGACGGCAGGGGACAAAAGCAUUAAAUGCCCGUUUGCGUCGCCCAAACAGUGCAAAAAGGGACUGUCAGGGACGCCACCACUUGCCACGAUGGAAAUCUUGUCAGCGCCGCUUGCCACCGCGCACCGCUGGCUGCACAGCCUCUUGCCACACGCGCCUGGACAGGUCCCAGGGCGACAUGUUGGUGGAUGUGCUGGAGCGCGGGUACAGAGUGGUAGCUUGCCGCGGCAAGCGCCAUGCUGCGGUCAUUGUCUUGUCACGUCCGGGAGCUUGUCGCUCACCGGGCCUCGCUGGGACGCGUGGCGCGUCGCGGCAAGUUCCUUGAGAUGCCUCAGUUGGCCUUCCCGGAAAGCUCCUCUUGCCGGGGCCUUAUCUCCUUGGCUUGAAUACUUUGUUCUUGAAUGGCUCCAAAGGAACCACGGAGGACUUUGGCGGUCACCCGGCAAGCCUUGCCGCGGGGCGCUGCGACUGCCCGUGCACAAGUUCGGGAUACUAGGGUACCCCUACUCUAGUACACCGAGAGGAGCCCCCGGGCCUGGGCCACACACGGUGCCGAGCGCUGUUGGGCCAGGCCCAAAACAGGGCACGGGCACGCGCGGCCUGGAUUACACCGUAUCUCACUCGUAUCCACCGCGCCCUCCCCGAACGGCACGCGUCGAAUGCGGCGUCGUGGGAGAGAUCGUGGGUGGUUUCUUUAUUCGGAAAGACGGAACGUCCGCCCCCUCCCUCUUUAUAAGCAGGGGAAACAUGGGCAGUUCGCCCAUCUCGCCGGUUGCUGUUACAAUCUCAGAAACUUCCGCCGCCCCUCCUUUUCUUCCCAAAGCUGAAAGAGAGCAGCGCUCCGCCCCCCAUCGCCACCAGCACCACCAACACCGUCGAUCUCCCCCACCACCUCCGCCAUGGCUCCGAAAGCCGGCAAGGGGAAGGCCGUGAAGUCGACCGAGGCGCAGCGGCUCGUGGCGCUGCGAAAGGAGCGGACAACUUUCCCCCCCAAGCUCGCCGCAAAGGAGCUGAGGGAGUACUACUACCUCUUCUGGUCGACGGAGACGCGAGCGCAUCCGCGCACGAAGGUACUCUCCGCCGCCACUUCGGAACGGGCUCCGAAUGGAUAUCCCUUCUUCACGUUGUUCUUCUACUGCGGGCUCUGCCCGCCUUUCUCUGAGUUUUUCUGCGACAUUAUGAACACCUACGGGUUCCACCUCCUUGACUUCACCCCCAAUGUCGUUCUGACCAUGGCAGUUUUCGCACAUCUCUGCGAAAACUUUGUCGGAGUCCAUCCAAAUGUAGCUCUUUUUCGCCACUUCUUUAUGCCCCGAGUUGAGAGAGGGGAGCCUUUAUCCGGCGGAAUCGCCUGGAUCUUGAGAGCUGGCAAGAAGGAAGCUUAUCUGGAGGGAGAGCUCUGCGGCAAGUGGGAGGAAUGGAGAGCAGUCUGGUGCUGGAUUGUCGAGGAGAACCCGCAGCCGUUUACCGCCCAGCGCCAAGCCCCAGUAGCGCGCGACAACGAUUGGAGCAACGUUGCCCCGGAAGAUGAUAGGCUGAAGAUUGCCGUCACCCGGAUCCUACGCCUCAGGCUUGCCGGGCUCACUGUAGGCGCUGUUGGCGCAGAUUUUCUUUGCCGCCGCAUCGCCCCCCUGCAGGAGAGGAGGAGACCCGCCUGGGAGUUCCAGAAUGCGGCGGAUAUCAUGAGGCUGCGCCCGGGCCUAAACUUCAACUUUACUGUCCUGGAACUGGAAGCGAUGCUCCAGGAACUGUUCAAGUACGACCGCCAACAUCCCGAAGUGUUCAGGUUGCCGAAGGGUGUCGUUCCGCUGUGCAACAACUCCUCGCUCGACCGCAUCCGUGCAAUGAUGCCGCUGUGCGAUUCGCAUGGAAUUGUCACAACUUGGCAAGAGCCUGCGAACGACGUUGUGCAGGAGUUCUUCGACGGCUUGGUGGAAGUGGCGGUCCGCUCCGAUGAACAAAAAAGCCUUACUCGCGACACCAUCGACGCGGAGAUGCAGCGCAUCGCCACUAGGCUGGAAGAGGCGGCGGCAGCCGCUGCCGCGGGCGAGUUUGGAUUCACCAUGGAGGAGGCAGAGGCAGCAGAGGCGGCAAGCCUUGCCAAGCGAGAGGAGCUUGCCGGCGAGGGAGAGCUUGCCGAGCCUGAAGCCGAGUCGAGCAAACCCGCCGAAGGUGCGAGCGGCUCGUCGAAGACCAACUCCUCUUCCUCCUCAUCUUCAGGCAGCUCGCCGCAAUCAGAGCCUCCAGCUCCACCAAGAAGGCGCCUCCGCAAGGCCGGGGAGGUAGCGGGGCGGCAGACGAGUCAACAGCCGCCGCGCUGCGCGACACGCUCCACCGCGGCAAGCACUGUUGCCGCGGGAGCACCUCACGCCGCUGCGGCAACUGGAGCGGGGUCCUCCCGAACCACCGCUUCUGCUCCUGCCGCUCCUCAUGCCGUGGCGGCGGCCGAAGCUGGGUCGUCUCAGACCACCACCACUGCCCCCGCCAAGCGGCUAAGGGAACCUACUCCUCCUCCUCGUCGCGCCGGAGGUGGGCCGGACUUCGACCUCUCCGCGCUCAGCUCCGACGAGGAAGAAGAAGAGUAAGAUUCUUUGCUGUACUUGUAGUUCUUCAAUUCUUGCUGUUUUGUCUUGUAUCUGAUUUGCUUUACUCCGAAUCCAUUCCUUUUCAGGACUCUGGCCCAGAGAGUGGCGAAGAGAGCCAAGGUCCCGGUGAUUGUCAUCGAGGACGAACCCACCGCGACAGCGGUGGUGGGUCCGAGACCACCUUGCCGGACCCGGCAACUAUUCUCCAAAGCAGCCCCCAGCGCAGCCCCCAGCGUAAGUAUAUGGUUUACUUCCCGCUGUUAGGCGCGCACGGGUGCUAUUUCUUUGCUGAUAUCUGACUAUUGGUUUGUGUAGGAGCAGAGCAGCCUCACCAGGAGCGCUCGGAAGCUGCCCCCGACAUGCCAUCUGCUUCGACUACUCCGCCAAGGGAGGAUUCCCCGGCAAGGGAGCAUUCUCCGGCAAGGGAGAGUUCUCUAGCAAGGACAGUUCUCCGGCAAGGGACAGCACCAGCGACCCCCUGGUGGCGGAGACCAUGACCGCAGAACCCAGUACAGGUAAUCCUCUUGCUUGAAAACUUCCCUUGGGUUCUUCUUUUUUUGAUUUUCUUUUUGGAUAUUUGCUUGACUUUUCUCCCUCUUCCGGCCUUCAGAUCCACCUGUCACGGAGCCGAUGGAGAUCGAGGUUGCCGGCGAGGAGAACGUGCGUGGCAAUACCGACGACGCCGCUGCCACCGAAGAAGCAGCUGACGCUGAUGAUCCCGCCGGUGAAGAGGCCGCCAAAGCUGCCGCCGCAAAAGCUGGCGAGGGUUCUGGCGAUCGCACUGACGGCCCUGAGGCCGCAGGAGCGUCAGGCGCUACGCCGACCGCCGAUCCCUCCGCCGCUGCCGCAGCGCCAGACUCCGAAGAGCCCCAGCUUGGUGCCUAUUUGAAGGCCGGCGAUGGCGUCUUCAUCAAGCUUCCCUGGGCUUCAAGCUCCAAGGCGCCGGUCGAAGGAGAAAGCUUGGAUGGAGAGGUGCUCGCCUCUGGUGGGCUGACGCUGGUUGAUGCACCGAGCAGUAGCAGCGGCGAGUCUGAGGAGGAGCAGCUGCUGCGGAAGCUGGUGUUGCUCUACCGCGCUCGGCAGGCCAAGGUGGAAUCCCGAGAAGCGCUUGUCGCCAAGGCGGGAGUGGACAUCGAGAAGCGCGCGGAGGAGCUCCGGGGUUGCAACCAGGAAGCUCUCCAGUCCCUGGCAGAGGGGCAAGCGCAACUCGUCGAGGAGCGGAAAGCCUUCCUCCUCGAGAAGGCUAAAGUUAAAGAGCAACAGCGGCUUGCCGUCGAGGAGCUGUCUGCGUGGGAAGGCGAGUUGCCGCAGCGGAAGGUCAACCUUGACAGCCACGAGGAGGAGCUUGCUGCGCGCGAGCAAACAUUCGGCAGGGCUCUCAAGGAAGCAGAGGAUGCUGCCGCAGCUGCCGAGGCCACCAAGAAGGAGCUGGAGACUAAGGUGGCGCAGCUGGAAGCCGAUCUCAAGGCGAGCGGUGAAGAGCUUGCCGUGCUCAAGCGUGAGCGCGAGAAGGACGCCUACACCCUUGGUGAGCUGCAGGGUAGUCUCGCCGAGAAGGGCAGGGAGCUUAGCGCCGCCAAGGACUCCAACGCAGAUCUUGAGUUGAAGCUGACUACUUUGACCAAGACGCUGGACGGCGCCAGGGAGCAGGAGGUGGCCUUGAAGAAGCAGAUCAAGGCCGCCCGUUUUCUUCUUUUCUUGUCGCUGCUGGUCAUGUUAUGAGAACAAUCUAUUAGAGCUGCGACAAGCUAUCUUGUAAUAUAACUCUAUUUUGGGUAGCGAUUGCUAUGUUAUUUCCUUUACUUGAUUCCUUCCUUUGUAUGUUUUUGCCCUACGCUUUUAGGGAACUUGCCGGUGCAGGCGCCUUAGCCGCGAGUGCUGAGUGCGGGACGUCAGCAGCCUGCUGGCGGCGCUGCUACCGACAAGAAACCUUGUCGCAACUAGUCGCAGCUCACUUAAGUUGUUGAGCGGACUCGAAACAAAGUAAGGGCGCAACUAGCUACGAGUUGGUUCCUCCGUGCAUAGGUUUUCCAUACAAAGCACGGUCGUUCGAGGAAGAUAACUUAAAAAUUUUAAAACUGAUUGCUCAAACUUUGGCAACUUAGCUUUUCUGCCGUUUGCUUCCUGGUAAGGCGAAACUUUCUUGAACGACGCCUGGUCCACACCAUUAUCUUCUCCUUCCCCCGCGGCAAACUUGUGGGCGAGGGAACCUUCCUUUCUUUUAGAAAGAGAAAGAAGAGAAAAUAAAGAUAUGGAGCCUUACAGCUCGUUAUUGCUUACCGGGAGUAGGUGCUGCACAAGGUGUCAGAUAGCACAUGCAAAAAAUAGAAAGCAUGAAAUUGACAAGAUGUGCGGAGCACAUGAGCUUUACUUAUGCACGGGGUCUGCGCCCGGCUUUGUACAAAGGAUUACAUGCAACAGCGGCAAGACUUGUACAAAAGGUGGUUGCCGGAACAGGUUCCGGCAACCGCGCCCUACGGGUAAAACUUACGAAGAUGCUCAAUGUUCCAGGAGUUGCUCACUGGAAUGCCAUCUUAGGUCUCAAGGCGGACAGCGCCAGGCCUAGUGACUCGUUUCACCCGGUAAGGGCCUUCCCACUUCGGCGUCAACUUGUUGCAAUUCUUGGCGGACUAAACGCGCCGAAGAACAAGGUCACCUUCCUCGAGACUUCUGGCAUUAACUUUGCGGCUAUGGUAGCGGCGCAAAGCUUGCUGGUAUAGAGCAGCUCGUACAGCGGCCUGAAGACGGUCUUCCUCAAGGAGCAGCGCGUCAUCUUGCCGCAACUGCUCUUGCUCAAGCUCAUCAUAAGCGAGCACUCGAGGUGACCUGUAUACGAGUUCCGUGGGGAGAACUGCCUCUGCUCCAUAGACUAGAGCGAAAGGUGUCUGGCCAGUGGCUCGAUUUGGCGUCGUCCUGAUCGACCAAAGAACCACCGGAAGCUCCUCAAUCCAGUUCUUUCCGCACUUGUGCAGCCUGUCGAAAGUCCUGGUCUUGAGCCCGCGCAGCACUUCAGCAUUUGCCCUCUCCGCUUGACCGUUGCUUCUCGGGUGAGCAACAGAAGCGAAGCAGACCUUGGCGCCAAGAUCUUGGACGUACUGUAUGAAGGUGCGGCUCGUAAAUUGCGUGCCGUUGUCGGUGAUGAUCCUGUUAGGGAUCCCGAAGCGGCAAACAAUCGACCCGAAGAACUUGACUGCUGACUGUGCUGUCACCUUCCUCACUGCUUCCACUUCCGGCCACUUUGUGAACUUCUCGAUUGCAACGUACAAGUACUCAAAGCCCCCGACAGCUCGGGGGAAGGGGCCGAGGAUGUCGAGCCCCCAGACCGAAAAUGGCCAGGAUAAAGGGAUCGUCUGGAGAGCUUGAGCUGGCCGGUGUAUCUGCUUGGAAUGGAACUGGCACGCUUCACACUUGGUUAGUUGUGCAGUUGCAUCCUGGAAGGCUGUCGGCCAAAAGAAACCUUGCCGGAAUGCUUUGCCGGCAAGCGCUCUUGCGCCAAUGUGGUGACCACAAAUGCCUCCAUGUAUCUCUGCCAACAGCUUUUGUCCAUCUUCCCAGUGAAUACACUUCAAUUUCACACCGUUGAGUCUUCUUCUGUACAGUGUGUUGUCGACAAACUGGUACAUACUUGACUGCCGGGCUACUCUUUCCGCUUCUUCUUGCUCUUCGGGAAGUUCUCUUGUCUGAAGGAAACGGACAAUCUGUUGUGCCCAUGCUGGAGCUUGCGGCUCGACAACAAGGACUAAAGGCACAUCUGCUGCUGCGGGAACAUCCGCUUCUACGGCGAGAACCUGCGGCUCAGCCGGAGCUUGACGUUCCCCGGCAAGCUUGCCGGAGCAAAACUUGUCGGGAGCGUCUGCUUCAACGGAACAAACCCUAGGGCUUGCCGGAGCAGACUGCUCCUCAGCACCUUUGGUGUUGAUCUUGGGGACCUUCCUGGCGGCGGCUUCGGGGAGCUCUGCCGGAAAAUAGUCGCCAGAAAUCAACUUCCUCUUCUUGCCCUGUCCAGUUGAUGGCGUUACAGACGGUUGAGUCAAUUUGAGCACAAAGAUCCCUGGUUCCACAGGUAACUUAAGUGCGGCGCACUUUGAUAGGCCAUCGGCAAUGUCGUUCUGAGCUCUUGGAACAUGUUCCAUCUGUAGGCCGUCAAAGUGCUCUUCUAUUUUUCUCACUUCAUCAACGUAAGCUUCCAUCAACAGACUCUGAUCAUUCUUGUUCACUUGGCGGACGACAAGCUGCGAGUCACCCCUGACAACGAGCUUCUUGAUCCCAAGGUCUGCUGCGAUCCUGAGACCGGCAAGCAAACCUUCAUACUCUGCGGUAUUGUUUGUUGCUUGCUCCUUGGGAAAGUGCAUCUGGACUACGUACUUGAGGUGUUCUCCGGUGGGCGCAACAAGUAGCACGCCCGGACCGGCGCCUUGCAGCGAGAAGGCACCAUCAAAGUACAUCAGCCACUCUUUGCUUGCUUCCUUGAUGGGGAUGCUCGUUUCUGGAAUUUCUUCAUCUGGUGUUGGCGUCCAUUCUGCUAUGAAUUCUGCCAAUGCCCUGCUCUGGAUAGUUGAAGUGCUCUCAAACUUGAGGCCAAAGCUUGACAGUUCCAGUGCCCACUCGACAAUCCUACCUGUUGCUUCUGGAUUCUGCAGUAUCCUUUUCAACAGAAAACGAGUGACAACUGUGAUCUCAUGUGCUUGGAAGUAAUGGCGCAGCUUUCUCGAGGCCAUGAGAAGGCCGGAAAGCAAUUUCUGCACACCAGAAUACCUUGACCUAGCCCCCUGCAGAAGGGAACUGACAAAGUAAACUGGGCGCUGCACCAUUCUCUUCUGUAUCUCCUCACGCGCCUGCGCAGAUCCAUCUUUGUCGGGACCAGAGCUUGUUGGUGAAGUCCCCUGCUUGUCGCUGGAUGCAUCUGCCGUGGUUGCGGGCUCAUCAUCCGCCUCCCUCUCCGCUACUAACGCAGCACUAACCACUUGAUUGGUUGCCGCUAUAUACAACAACAACUUCUCUUGUGGCUUAGGUGCGACAAGUGUUGGAGCGGAGGACAGGUAUCUCUUUAAGUCCUGCAGCGCUGCCUCCGCUUCCGGAGUCCAUUUCAUUGGACCUGCCUUUUUCAAUAUUUUGAAAAACGGCAGGGCGCGCUCAGCAGACCUAGAGAUAAACCUGCUGAGAGCCGCCACGCAACCGGCAAGUCUUCGUACAUCCUUGACGCGCUUUGGUGCUUCAAUCUGCUCAAUGGCCUUGAUCUUGUCGGGAUUGGCUUCAAUUCCCCGCUGAGACACGAAGAACCCGAGAAGCUUGCCGGAGGGGACUCCAAACACACACUUCUCGGGGUUAAGUUUGAGGUUGAUCUUGCGCAGAUUUGCAAAGGUUUCGUCUAAAUCCUGAAUCAGAGUUGCCUUGUCCUUGCUCUUGACCACUAUGUCAUCCAUGUAGGCUUCCACAUUUUUGUGCAUUUAUGGCUCAAAAGCGUCAUGGACUACCCUUGCAAAUGUUGAACCAACAUUCUUUAAACCGAAAGGCAUUCGUAUGAAACAGUAUGUGCCACAUGGAGUAAUGAAUGCGGUCUUCUCCUCAUCCUCUUCUGCCAUGAAGAUCUGAUGGUAUCCUGAGUAUGCAUCAAGAAAUGAAAGCAAGUCACAUCCAGCCGUGGAGUCAACAAUCUGGUCAAUGUGCGGUAAGGGAAAUGGGUCUUUGGGACAAGCUUUAUUGACAUCAGUAAAGUCGAUACAAAGCCUCCAUUUCCCGUUUGCCUUGCGCACGACUACAGGAUUGGCCAACCACGUAGGGUGGAGCACUCCUCUGACAAGGCCUGCUGCUUCCAAUUUCUUGAUUUCUUCUGCGAUGAAUUCUUGGCGCUCCACUGCUUGUUUCCUGACUUUCUGCUUGACGGGCCGCGCAUGAGGACAGACGCCAAGAUGGUGCUCGAUUACUUUCCUGGGAACACCGGGGAUGUCAGACGGUUGCCACGCAAACACGUCGAUGUUCGCCCGCAAGAAAGCAACGAGCGCGCUUUCCUAUUUAGGGUCGAGAGUGGCACUGAUGGUGAAGGUACCACCAGUGCCGUCCUCCUUGGUGGACACCUUCUUGGUCUCUGGCGGAGCUGCCAUUGUCUUCUUACACUUGCCGGUGGAGCUCGAUGGUGCGUCCUCGACGGUAACGCAGCACUCCGAAGAGGUGCGCUUGCCGGAGUGGGCAUCAGAACUCUUGCCGGACUUGGUCUUCUUCUUCCCCCCAGGAGCUUCAACGGCAAGUGACUUGCGAUCUGUUGCGGCUGCUGCUUCCCGGUAGAUCUUGUCGGCGCAGAUAAGAGCAUCCUUCUUGUCGCCAGGGACAGAGAUGACACUUAUCGGGCCUGGCAUCUUCAGCACGUUGUAUGCAUAGUGAGAGGCCGCCAUGAAUUUGGCGAGUGCUGGACGGCCGAGUAUCCCAUUGUAAGGCAAUGGAAAGUCAGCAACGUCAAAAGUGACCCUCUCAGUCCUGAAGUUCAACUCGCUGCCAAAUGUCACCGGCAACGUGAUCUUUCCCUUCGGCUUGCUCCUUCCCGGAUUGAUUCCUUGGAAUGUGCCGGUCUCUUCGAGCUCGCUAUCAGGGAUCUAGAGUUUCUGGAGUACCGCGGAGGAGAUCAGGUUCAAGCCGGCCCCGCCGUCAACUAGCAUCUUAGUGACCUUGAGGUUGUGGAUAGUUGGUGAAACCAACAUCGGCAAGCACCCGACCGCAGUUAUGCGAUCAGGGUGGUCCUCAAUAUCAAAGAUGAUAGGCGUGCUGGACCAUUUCAGAGGCUUGCGUGACUCGACGGGUGGUUCUGCCGCAUUGACUUCCCACACCCACUGCUUGAGCUGGUGAUGUGAAGUAUUUGUGCAGGGGCUCUCCUUCCUUCUGGGCGAGCAGAUGAAGGUCGCUCUCUUGGCCAUGAGGUUUGUGGCCGCCUGUAAAGGCGCCGACAAACUGAUGGCAUAGGUCUGCCCAGGAGGAUACGGAGUUGUCCGGCAAGUGCAUGAGCCAGGACCUGACAUUGGGCUUGAGUACCAGCGGGAAGUAGUUGGCAAGGAUCUUGUCAUCCCGCCCCCCGUCAGCUUGCACCGCGAUGGUAUAGAUGCUGAGGAACUCCGACGGAUGCGACCUGCCGUCGUACUUAUCUGGUACGUCUGGCUUGAAAUUCUUCGUGCUGGGCCACUGGACUUGCCGCAGCUCACGAGUGAACGCAGGGCAACCUACCGCAUACGGCAAGUCGUCUGGUUCCCCUAGCGCAUGCAUGUCGACAGAGGGCCCAGCACGCUGGUCCGAUUGACGCCGCGCUUCUCUUCGACGCUCGAUGCGAGUACGAGCGUCUUCUUGCUGUCGUUCGUGAAGAACUUGGCGCUGAUCGCGACGAGCUCGUGGAUCUGAUGAUGCGAUGGAGUCGCUGUCGAGGUAGAUCCGGCGAGUCGGCGAUCUUGGCCUUCGGGGCGGAGAGUGCACGGUGGUUGCACCCCCACCGGUUUUGUCGCCAUCGGCUCGUGCCCGGUAGUCUUGCCGCGGCCGCGAUGUACUUAGCUGCCGUGGAGUGUCGCCGUUGGCGAAGCCAAUGAGACUCUGAAUGGUGGCCCUCCAUUCGUCGAUCUUGUCUGCCGUUGGAGGGUAAUCCAGGAGCAGUUGAGCUCGUGCCAAAGCUUCUGCUGGAGUGGUGGGUGGCAGUGGUGAACGGUGCGAGGAGCGGGAUAUGCUCGGACUUCUAACUAUGUUAGAAGGAGCAGUAUCCCGUCCAGGCGACCGUGUCUCGCUCGUGCCAGCAUGUUGGCGUGCAUGCUGGUCUUGAGCACCCCGAGAUCCACCAGCUCGAUCUUGGUCCAACGAACGUAUGGUACCGCGAGUACCAUGACAUUGUCGGUCCCGCGCCUCCUGAGAUGGGUGCGGUGCAUGUACGGACGCCGAGGUCUGCGCAGCCUUGUCCUUGGACCUGGCAGCACCGUGAGCUCCCUCAUCGACGCCCGUUCUUCCGCCGGCGUCUACCCCACCACCCGUUUGCUCCGGUGGUGGUGGGAUCGACGCGGACGGAGCAGCCACCUCCGAAGCCUUCUUCUUCGGUGGCAUGUCGAUGAAGAAGAUGAAGAUCUAGCUCGUGUGAACGCCGGAUCAGGUUCACACAACCCCGACGCCCCCUACCUGGCGUGCCAAAGAUGCCAGGGAAAACUAAUCCACGGACACCUAUGGGGCCGGCGGACCGAGCCCCUUUCGGUUCGGCGGGGGGCGGAGGUCGCACGAAGAGCGGAUCGGGGCGAAGCACACGAGCAGUUUACCCAGCUUCGGAGCUCUUCGGAGAGAUAAUACUCCUACUGCUGCAUGUCUGAUUGUAUUGAGUUCUUGCUCAGGAGCGCUGAGUGCUACAAUACACUCUAGCUGCUAACGAGACCAAGUGUGAGUGUUCUCUGGCUUCAAACCCCCCUCUAUGUUGCGCAUGGGCCUCCUUUUAUAUGCUCAAGGGGUCACCGACAGGUGGCAACGUAGAGGGUAAAAAUGGAAAGGUGUUGCGGUUGGUACAACUACCUGUACAGUGUAUCAUACCUAACCCUGACGGCAGGGGACAAAAGCAUUAAAUGCCUGUCUGCGUCGCCCAAACAGUACAAAAAGGGACCGUCAGGGACGCCACCGCUUGCCACGAUGGCAAUCUUGUCAGCGCCGCUUGCCACCGCGCACCGCUGGCUGCACAGCCUCUUGCCACGCGCGCCUGGACAGGUCCCAGGGCGACACGUUGGUGGAUGUGCUGGAGCGCGGGUACAGAGUGGUAGCUUGCCGCGGCAAGCGCCUUGCCGCGGUCGUUGUAUUGUCGUGUCCGGGAGCUUGUCGCUCACCGGGCCUCGCCCGGACGCGUGGCGCGUCGCGGCAAGUUCCUUGAGAUGCCUCGGUUGGCCUUCCCGGCAAGCUCCUCUUGCCGGGGCCUUGUCUCCUUGGCUUGAAUACUUUGUUCUUGAAUGGCUCCAAAGGAACCACGGAGGACCUUGGCGGUCACCCGGCAAGCCUUUCCGCGGGGCGCUGCGACUGCCCGUGCACAAGUUCGGGAUACUAGGGUACCCCUACUCUAGUACACCGACACAGGGCAGCGGGAUCCAUCCCCCAUAGGAUUGCGGAACCCACCAAAGUUAGCAAAGAAAGGGAGGCCAAGGGAAAAAGAGAAGAGAAGGAAGCCACUAAUAGAGCUACGAGAAGAUGAAAUGAAGAAGAAAGCAAAGAAGGAUGCAGCGAAAACAAAGAAAGCAAAGAAGGAUGCAGCGAAAACAAAGAAAGCUCCAAACCCAAAGGGAAAGAAGACUCUAUGUAAUUACUGUGGAGAUGAGGAUCACACCAUCAAGAGCUGCCAACUCCUUGCUGCAGUGCUUGCUACGAGUGCAAACACAAAAGCUCCGUGUGUCGAAACAACACUUAACCUUUAGUAUGUUUCAUGCAGAAGAGAUGAUGUAUUGCCUUGCAACCCCUUGGUUUCUCUGCAUAUGCAAGAAUUAUAGAAAAAAUGCUUACAAACAUUUGUGCUAAAUAGUUGUAGCUACUUUUUUGUGGGAUUGCAACAUACAACUACUAAGAAAGCAAAAUGUUUCUUUUAUGAGAGUUGAUUGAAAGAGAUUCUUACUCUUAUAUGUUUGUGAAAUCUUACCUUUUGUAGCCUGAUGGUGCAAAAGUUUGUAGCAUGUGCCUUGCAUGGUUCCAUGGUUUUGUUUCUUAAUUUUUAAAAUCACUGAAUAAAGCAGCCAUGCUUGUAACAAGUGUAAAAUCAAUAGUUGUAGCAAAAACAAAUAGUAGUGGAAGUUUUUUGUUUGAAUGAUGCAGCACUUCUUGCUCCUGAUGUGGUUGUAUCUUUUUAAAAUCAUGGUUGAAGCUUUUUAAAAUUAUGUUUGCAGUAAAAACCAUGUUGGAAAGAAAAACUUGUUUGGGUUAAAAAAUGUGUUCUUUGAAAGGUACUCAACACAUAAAGCAAAAAUGUUACAGGCGUCACAUUUGUCGGUUGCAUAUUUGAAAGUAUUUGUGAUAUGAAACAAAAAGGCUCGCGGGAACUUACGAGGUCAGAUUUUUGAACCUUGCACUUAGUGAUAGCCCUUUCAAGCUCAGGCGUGAGAGUGCUUGGUUGGAAGGUUGAUGAAUCUUGCUUGAGUAGAACCUGCUUGAACAGACGAACACAAAUGAUUAGUCGUUCCGCAUCAAAAAGUAAAAAAAGGAUGAAAGAAUUGCUUGUUUCUACAAAACUUACCGUCGCGUGGACUGAGAACGUGUACUUCUUGAUAGCCUAGCACUUACUGCACGAGAUGCGAGGUUGCUGAUCUCAAUACAUAGCGACUUAAUUUCAUCAUUCAUAUCACCGCGGGGCUUGAAGCAUACGAGGAAUUUCUUGUAUCCAAUGAAAAAUCCACCUAUCUUGAUGAAAGGAGUCCUGCUACCGUAGUUGCAAGCAAAUGAUUCAUUGGUUUGAAGCAAAAAAGACACAGAUAUGGAUUAGGUAGCUUACGUUUGUUCAUUCAGGAUUGUCCUCCUCAAUGGUUUUCCAUGCUUAACAUACUUCUCAUAGACAGUCGCAACUUGAUCUUCUUCUUCGUUGAGCUUCUGCUUCUUUUCCUUGCUAUUUUUGACGGUCGAAACUUUAGCCAUCCUCUUCUUCCUAGUGUUCUUGUCGUGUGUGCUAGGGCCACUGCUCACAUCAACAAUUUGCUCAUCUGUAGCAACCGUUGUAGGAGCUGCAAACAAAAAAGUAAUAGUAAGGUUAGGAGGGGUUGUACACGAAUUUGUUGCAAUCACAUAAAAGCAAAAAAAUGACAUGGAGAAAAAGAAGAAAUGAUGAAGGAGGAAGGAAGCAUACUUGGGUUGUCAUCGUCGUCUGAUACAGGAAACAUAGUGUAAGUGCAUCUAGUGCCAACCCUAGUUGGUUUUGGAGUAUUGACAACAAAGUUGGUUGAGGGACCAAUGCGUUUGUGAGAAUUGCAGGAUAACGCAGGUAGUGUCCCUCAUUGAUUUGGUUUACCUACCGGAGAUGACCCCUAAAAAUGUGUGAAGACAUUGAAGACAAUGGUGGUAUGUGAAGAUAUCCAUAUUGAAGACUAUGACAUGAGAAGACAUUCGAUGAAGACUAUGGAGCGCGAAGACUGUGUGGUUUCGUUGUUUCCUUUUCUUCUUUGUUGAGUCAUAGGAACCACUGUACUGUUAAGUGGGGUCCAAGUGAACUAAGUCAGAAUGACUGAAGUGAUGCUCAACCCAAAUCCUAUGUCUUCGAGUGAAGACAAUGAGAGCAAAUCUUAUCCAGAGCUGGAUGAGUCAGCUUUGCUUGUAGCCCAAGUAAAGUUGCCGUGUGUGUUUGAAAUCUGACCGUUGGAACACGUGUCAGUUCCUUAGUGACCCAGGGUCAUUUCGGACAUAUCAGGUCGGGUUGCUCAGUGGCUAUAAAUAGCCCACCCCCUACACCAUAAAUUGGUGGCUGCUCAGAGUUAGUGCACGACUUUUGUCGUUUGAGAGCAACCCACCUCGAAGCCUUUGAGAGAGAGAAAUCCUUGCGAGGACCAAGCCCAAACACCCAAAGCCAAAGAGUGUUAGGCAUCACUAAAGUCUUUCUGUCUGUGUGACCUAAAGACUUAUUACACUUGAGGACUGUGAAUCCUCCAGCCGGUUAGGCGUCGCAUUUUGAGCAUCCAAGAGUCAUUGUGGAUCGCCGGUGAACGAAGUCUGUGAAGGUUUGGAAGUCUACCUUGAAGACUUACCAGAGUGAUUGGGCGAGGACUGUGUGUCCUUAGCUCAAGGGGAAUAAGGUGAAGACACGGUCUUCUGAGUUGAAUCUCAGCCUCCCUAACCAGACGUACAGUUGUCACAGCAACUGGAACUGGUCCAACAAAUCAUGUGUCUUCAACAAGUGACUGGUUCUAUACUCUCCUUUCCUUUACUUAAGUUUUUCUUCGUGAAGUCAUUGUCUAUCUGUCGUACCUGUUUGACUUCAUUGCUUGACUACUACUGUUGAUUGGCUUCAUACUAUCUUCCAUCCCGAUCCUUACUACUUAGCUGCUAUUAGUCAUGUACCUUCACAUCAUUGCAUACUUGACUAUGGUUAGCCUAUUGUAGUUUAUCUUCUGCUGCAUAUCAAUUAGGUCAUUCCUACUAUUUGUCUUCGAAACUAUCAUGUUUUGAAGACUUUCAUAAAAAUCGCCUAUUCACCCCCCUCUAGUCGAUACUAGCACUUUCAAUUGGUAUCAGAGCAAGGUACUCCCUUGUUCUGUGUGAUUUGGUUUAACCACCUGGAGUUUUAGCUAUGUCGACUGCAGGGAUAAUCAAGGUCUCCGCUGCUUGCCCCUUGUUCGAUGGAACUGAAUAUCCCUACUGGAAGAAUAAGAUUCGUAUGCAUCUUGAAGCCAUUGAUGUCGACCUCUCGUAUGUCGUCAAGAAUGGCGUUCCCAAAACUGGUGAAGGUGUCACCCCUACUGAUGUCACGAAGUUCAUUCAACUGGACUCUACUGCAAAGAACAUCAUCUGUGGUCCUCUGACCAAAGGACAGUAUGGCCGUGUGAGUGCUCUGGAAACGUCAAAGCUAGUCUGGGACUGGUUAUCCAAGGUCAAGGAAGGCGUCUCAACCCAGAGAGAUCAAAGAAUCAGUGUUCUUCGCAACCUCUUCAACCAUUUCAAGAGAAACGACAAUGAAAAUGUCCAGCUCAUGUUCGAUUGCCUCACUGACAUCACAAAUGAACUUCAAGCUCUUGGCGCAACUGAGAUUACCAAGCAUGAAAUCGUCAAGACACUACUAAGAUCACUUGACAGCUCCUUUGACACCCUUGCCCUCAUGAUACAAGAACGUCCUGACUUCAAGACACUCGAUCCGUCUGAUAUACUUGAGAGGCUCAACACACAUGAGUUCCAGCUUUCUGAGAAAAGAGAUAUCUAUGGUCCAAACUAUGGCCGAACUCGCGCUUUGAAGGCAAAAGUUGUUUCCUCAUCUGAAGAAGAAUCUGACUGCAGUUAUGAUGAUCCUGAAGACAUUGGAAAGGAACUUGCUAUGCUUGUGAAGAAGUUUCAGAAGUUCACCAAGAAGAAAGGCUUCAGAAAGUCUUCACGAUCCAGCUCACGAAAUGAUGAAGCUUCCACUCAUGACCACAAGAAGAGAACAUGUCACAAGUGCAAGAAACCCGGACACUACAUCUCUGAGUGUCCACAGUGGGACAAUGAGAAGAAGAAGAAGAAGAGCAAGGAAUAUGAUUCUGAUGACAAGAAGAAGAAGAAAUCUUCAAAGUCUUCUUCCAAGUCCUCAUCAAGGUCUUCAUCUCAUAAGAAGAGCUCAUCAGGCAAGGCUCGUGCUUUUGUUGGCAAGGAAAUGGAUUUAGAAGAGGAGUCUUCUUCUGAGGAGGUGGAGGUGGAGUCUGGAGAGGAGUCCGACCCUGGCGUUGCAAGUCUGGCUCUAGCCACAGCCUAUGUUCCAAAGUCCAUCUUCAACUCUGAAGACAAUGACUUCCACACCAACGCUAAAGCUGAUGACGACGAUGAUCCUACUCCCACCUACUGCUUCAUGGCACGUGGUGCCAAGGUAAAAUCACAUGAUGCUUACUUUCAAACAUCAAGUGAAGAUGACUCUGAUUGUGAAUCCAAACCUAGCUACAAAACACUUGCUAAAAUUGCAACUGAACAACAAAAGGCUAUGGAACAUACUCAAAAACUGUUAGACAAAAGCGAUGACCUGUUGGACGCGGAAAUGACACGUUCACAGUCCUUAGUAGAAGAUAUAAAAAAUCUUCAUGCUAAGUACCAAGAACUUGAAAGUCGUCAUGAAACGCUCUCAACCACUUAUGAAAAGCUCUCCUAUGAUUAUCUUCAAAGGAAGCAAGAGCUUGAGAAAUUGAGAGCGGCUCAUGAAGAUCUUCAAAAAGAGAAUGAGUCACUUCGCGCUCAACAGAUCAGUCCCGCUCAGGAUGGAUUUGAACCACCAUGUCUAAAAUGCAUUGAGCGUGAUAACGCUACAUCUGUUGUUGAAUGUUCCACUGCUGCUACUGUUUCAUUGUCUUCACCUACUGAUGUGGUUACUAACCCCUCUGCGGAGGAUACCACUACUAUUGCUGAUGAGAAUGCUAUGUUGAAGACAUUGCUUGAAACAGGGAUGUAUAAAAGUCUGAAAGGGCAUCAGACACUUUGCGAUGUCCUCAAAAAGCAGAUUCUGAACCAAAACCCUAGGAAAGAGGGUGUUGGGUUCGAGAGGAAAAUGAAUGUUGAUGGCUCGUACUGGAAGCCUGAGCAGUACCCCAAAACCACAUGGGUUGCUGCAAAGGAACCUUCAGUAGAUCCAUCCACUUUAUCUGGCUUUACCUGUGCUAAUCCUAUUAUCAUUGAUGAAUCCUUUGAUGCAAACUAUAAGCUGUUCAAGAAUCAGAAUGGUGAAGUGUUUGCCAGGUAUAUUGGUACUAACUGCAGGAAUGGACCACCUAUGAAGGAGAUCUGGGUACCUAAGCAGUACAUUGAGAAUCUUCCUGUGAAUGUCGUCAUGACACCACCAAGGAAGAAGACAAACCCCAGACCUAUAGCUUCAUAUGGCCCAAAGGCUUCAUACAGAUACAGGACUCACCCGAGUCACCCUAACGCCAAUGUUUUGCAGGGAAAUCAUACUCAGACUUAUGAAUAUGAGCGUGUGUCUUCGAACUGCUAUGUUCAUAGAACUAAGAACUUUUCUGCUUAUUCAUAUGAGUAUCAUUCAUCUCCUGCAAGGCUAUUUGCUAAGGCUCCAAAGCCGAAAUUCUCAGAUGCUGCACUUAGACUCAUUGCUUCUAAGCCACCCCUGAAAAUGUGGGUGGCGAAGAAGAAUUAACCUUCUUUUGCAGAGUAAGGUCUCCAGCCAACAAUCAAAGGCGUUCGAUACUAUUGCUAGGGACCUAAAACACAUUAAGGACUCAUGAUAAAAUGUCUUACUAUAUACGUCACAUCUGAAUCGCUUACCAGUCAUACUAUGUGUCCUAACCUUGAUCUAAGCUGUGACAAUCCCUAUAUGUGCCAAAUGCUUAUGCUUCACAACACUCUUGUGAAGCCUAUCCUCCUAACUGCACUGUAGGGUACAUCAUCAAAAGCUUCAGAAUGGAUUAUGGACAGCGGAUGCACAAAUCAUAUGACUGGUGAUCGAAGUCUUCUCAUGGACUCAACCUUACGUCCAUCCGACAAGAGUCACAUCACAUUUGCUGACACUGGUAAAAGCAAGGUAUUGGGUCUAGGUAGAGUUGCAAUCUCAAAGGAUCAACACAUGGAUAAAGUGAUGCUUGUUGAAUCCCUUGGUUUCAACUUAAUGUCUGUCUCAAUGCUUUGUGACUUGAACAUGAUUGUGCUAUUCGGAAAAUAUCGCUGUCUUGUACUAAUGGAAUGUGACAAGUCUCUAGUCUUUGAAGGGUAUCAGAAAGAUGAUCUAUACAUGGUAGAUUUCUCAGCAGGUCCACAGCUUGCCAUGUGUCUUCUCACAAAAGCUUCAGAAUGCUGGCUCUGGCAUCGAAGGCUGGGGCAUGCUGGCAUGAGGAACUUACACUCACUCGUCAAGAAGAAGCAUGUCAUAGGCAUCGAGGAUGUCAAGUUCAAGAAGGAUCAUUUGUGUGGCGCCUGCGAAGCUGGAAAGAUGACUAGGGCAAAGCACCCCACGAAGACAAUCAUGACAACAUCUCAACCCUUCGAGCUAUUGCACAUGGACUUAUUUGGACCUACUCACUACUCCACCCUCACAACAACUGCUUGUCUCUAUGGCUUCAUCAUUGUUGAUGACUACUCAAGAUACACAUGGGUUCAUAUAAUUCUCUACAAGACUGAAGUGCAAGAUGUCUUCAGACGCUUCGCCAAUCGAGCAAUGAACAAUUAUGGUGUGAAGAUCAAGCAUAUCAGAAGUGAUAAUGGCACCUAAUUCAAGAACACCGGACUUGAUCUUUGUCUGGAUACAAUGGGGAUCACUCAUGAGUUCUCUGCUCCAUACACACCUCAGCAAAAUGGCAUCGUUGAACGCAAGAAUAGAACCCUCAUUGAGAUGGCUCGAACAAUGGUUGAUGAAUACAAGACACCAAGAAAGUUCUGGCCUGAAGCUAUUGAUACAGUGUGUCACAUCAUCAACCGUGUUUACAUCCAUAAGCUUCUGAACAAAACAUCCUAUGAGCUCCUUACAGGCAAGAAGCCAAAUGUCAGUUACUUCAGAGUAUUUGGAGCUAGGUGCUGGAUCAAGGACCCCCAUCACAAGUCAAAAUUUACACCUAAAGCUCACGAAGGCUUCAUGCUUGGCUAUGGAAAGGACUCACACUCCUAUAGAGUCUUCAACCUCUAUCUCUACAAAAUCGUCGAAACUGUGGAUGUGAGAUUUGAUGAAACCAAUGGUUCACAAAGAGAACUCCUGCCAAGUACACUAGAUGAAGCUCCUUCAAGCGAAUCUAUCAAGCUGAUGGGAAUGGGUGAGAUCAUGCCUUCUGAAGCAUAGCCCGAAGAGGAACUUAUCAUUUCUGCACCAAACCAACCUGAAGACAAUGCUCAGACCGAAGACAAUCCUCCCAAUGAUGACAAUGAUCAGCAAGAGCAAAGUCUUUGUCCGGUUCAUCCUCGUGUUGCAAAUGAAGUACAAAUUGAGAAGAUAAUUGACAGCAUCAAUGCACCUAGUCCACUUACUCACUGAAGAGCAACACAGUUAGCAAACUUUUAUGGCACUUUUCAUUUGUGUUGUCACGCCCAAUAUGAGACCCUAUCCAAAAGGAACUCGAAGGUCCCACCAAGGAUAGACCCGCAUAUUGAAACGCUUUUGCAAGGUGGAUAUCAUUACAUCAACAUUACAUAAUAGAUGGGGAUACAUACAAAAGGCAUACAAUGCCACACGAAUACACCAUCAUCUUACAUAAGAGCACCAUCCGACUACGGAUGAAACACAAACAGAAACUCAAACGACAUCCACCCUGCUAGCCCAGGUUGCCGACCUGGAACCUAUCCCCUGAUCGAAGAAGAAGCAGAAGAAGAACUCCAAAACAAGUAAGCAUCGCUCUCGCGUCAUGAUCAUCGCAUAAACCUGUACCUGCAACUGUUGUUGUAGUAAUCUGUGAGCCACGAGGACUCAGCAAUCCCAUUACCAUGGGUAUCAAGACUAGCAAAGCUUAAUGGGAAAGGAAGGGGUAAAGUGGUGAGGUUGCAGCAGCGGCUAAGCAAGUAUGGUGGCUAACAUACGCAAAUGAGAGCGAGAAAAGGAGCAAAGGAACGGUCGUCAACUAGUAAUGAUCAAGAGGUGAUCCUGAACACCUACUUACGUCGAACAUAACACAGAAACCGUGUUCACUUCCCGGACUCCGCCGAGAAGAGACCAUCACGGCUACACACGCGGUUGAUGCAUUUUAAUUCGGAUCUGGUGUCAAGUUAUCUACAACCGGACAUUAACAAAUUCCCAUCUGCCACAUAACCACGGGCACGGCUCUCGAAAGUUUAAACCCUGCAGGGGUGUCCCAACUUAGCCCAUGACAAGCUCUCGCGAUCAACGAAGGAAUAGACCUUCUCCCAGGAAGACCUGAUCAGUCUCGGAAUCCCGGUUUACAAGACAUUUCAACAAUGGUAAAACAAGACCAGCAAAGCCGCCCGAUGCGCCGACAUCCCGAUAGGAGCUGCACAUAUCUCGUUCUCAGGGCAACACCAGAUAAGUCAAGCUACGAGUAAAACCAGACUUCGAGUUUCCCCGAGGUGGCCCCGCAGGUUGCUCGGUUUGGACCAACACUUAGACAAGCACUGGCCCGGGGGGGCUAAAAUAAAGAUGACCCUUGGGUUGGCCGACCCAAGGGAAGGGUAUAGGUGGUGGUGAGGCAAAUGGUAAAACCAAGGUUGGGCCUUGCUGGACAAGUUUUAUUCAAAGCGAACUGUCAGGGGGGUCCCAUAAAUCACCCGACCGCGUAAGGAACGCAAAAUCCAGGAACAUAACACCGGUAUGACGGAAACUAGGGCGGCAAGAGUGGAACAAAACACCAGGCAUAAGGCCGAGCCUUCCACCCUUUACCAAGUAUAUAGAUGCAUUAAUUAAAUAAGAGAUAUUGUGAUAUCCCAACAUAAAUCCUGUCCACCAUGGAGAAAUCUUCAACUUCACCUGCAGCUAGCAACGCUAUAAGAGGGGCUGAGCAAAAGCGGUAACAUAGCCAAGCAACGGUUUGCUAGGAAUGGUGUCAAAGGUUAGAGGUUCAUGGCAAUUUGGGGAGGCUUGAAGAACAAGUGAUAGGUAACGUAGCAUAGCGAUAGAACGAAGCAACUAGCAUAGCAAUGAUAGUAGUGAGAUCCAGGGUAACGGUCAUCUUGCCUGAAAUCCCGCAAGGAAGAAGAACGAGUCCAUGAAGGAGAUGAAGCCACGAAGACGAACCACACGUAGACGAACGCAUCCUCACGAUCGCAACGAAACGGGAACUAUCGAGAAGAAGCACACAACAUGGUAAACACACCACACAUAGACAAGACAUGAUGCACAACAAGCAUGAUGCAUGACAAAGGCUACAUGAAGCUACUCAUGGCAAGAGAUGAUGGAAACAAGAACAACACAUCAAGGCAAGUUUAAAUGAGGCCGGAAACAACAUAUAACAAUUUCGGUAAGUCCUCAUAUGCAAAUUUCGAAAUUGGUCCAGAUCUGAAUAAACCUUAUGUUCAAGUUGUUAAACAUCAAGUUAAGGUGCACCAAGAUGAUCUACACGAGAUUCUGGUCAAGUUACAUAUAAAGUUCAUUAGAUUCGGAGCUACGGCCUAGAAGAUAUGAGCAAAACAAGUUAAACAUGGCAUCGAUGCAAAAUGCAUACAAACAUCAAGCAAACACCUCAAAACAAGGAUGCAACAUGAUAAUACGGCACUACAUGCAAAAUCAAGCAAGUUUCAUAUAGAGCACACUCAAAACGGAGCAACGGUUCAACACAUACACUCUAUACAAGUCAUAGCAACAAUCUGUCCAUAACAGCAACUAGGCAUAUUGCAAGCAUCAAAACAACAUGCUAUAGCACCCCAACAUAAGAACAAAAGGCAUGGGCAUGAAGUACAGGUAAAGCACAACAGAACAUGAACACUGAGCAAUCUCCAGAAACAACUAGAACAUGCUCAAAAAGACAUGGGAAGAUUGCAAAUAAUAAUAGUUUCAGACUUGAUGUUACCGGAACUUAUCAUGGCAAAAAAGGCAUGCAACGUUUAGAGCUAUCAAACAAGAUGUUACCGGAACUUAUCAUGGCAAAAAAGGCAUGCAACGAAUCUACUAAUUGCAUAGAUCAAAAGUCCCUUACUGACCAUGAGCCAAAAGGGCACAGAAAAUAUGAUGGCACCCAUGUAAACAUGGCAAGUUAUAUUACAGAUUCAUACAUGGCAGGAACAACAAUAAGUAGGCAUGUUGGUGAGCUUGGACCACCCACCACAGAGCAAUACAUGGCAUGGCAAGGCAACCAACAGUAAGAAUACAUGUUUAUGAAGCUAAGCAUGACAAGUGCAAGGUCAUAGGGUGCAUGGAACACUAGCAAAACACAUGGGAACAAGUGAACUUAAUGUUAACAGGCUGAUAGCAACAUUUUCAAGCAAUUUGGAGCAAGAAAUGAACAAGCUACAGUAAGCUAUAAAUGCAACCAGGGGCACGGAUGGAUAGGGCAUAACAUGUAGAUCAAAACAUGUUUAUAGAACAUCUCCAGAUUAUGCAUAGAAUGAUUAGUAGCAACAUGUUUAUAUAGCAUCUAAAUAUAACAGAAUCUGUCAGGAAAACAGCAACAGCAAGUACACUACUUAACAAGCUCAAUUCACUCACCACAAGUCAUUGCAUGACAAGAUAAGCAUAGCAUAAUCAAGAAGUCAUGUUUAUGUAACUAACCAAGGCAAGAACAAGUCCAUAGCAUGCAAGGAUCAACUAUAUCAUCCUUGGCUAAAUUGAAUAACAAGUAAACAAUCUGCCAGGAAACAUUUUGAAGCAAAAGUAGAGCAAUCAAAUGGCAUGCUAGGCUACUCCAUAAUUGCAAAAAAGGGCAUGAAUGGAUAGACAAAAACCACAUGUUCAAAACACCCUUACUGAAGUAACUCAAAAUAUGCAUGGAUCUCUCUGUAGCCUCAAGUUUACAUGGCAUCAAAAUAACAGCAGAACAGGGACUAAAAUCAGCAAUAUCAGGAAGCCUAGUUUGCAUGCUUGUGCUGGUCACCACAUUGAUCACAAAAAUACAUGGCAUACACCCCUGGAAAGAUGGCAUGGCGUAGAUCAAAACACAUGUAGACAUUAACCUCAUAGGAUGCACACAACAAUCAUGGCCAAAAUGACAAAUGAACAUGUUAUAACAGUUUCAGCAGAUUAACAUCAACAUGCACUCUUCCAACAGCAUUUCGGGAAUCAAGAUGAGCUCAAAUGAAAAUGAUGCAAUGGGAUGAAAUGAAGUACUCGUUGCGACGAACAAUUUGACAUAUUAUACGCACGAAACGAAGAUACGGAUGCAGAGAUGUGAUGCGAUGAAGAUGCAACAAUUUUACCACAGAUUAAGGACUUAGUGGAUUUCGGGGGGAAAGUCAACCUUCGGUGGAUCUCGCCGGAAUCCCACCGGAGUUGGAGGAGACGGCGGCCGGAGCGCGGGAGAGGUCGGGGAGGCCGGGAGAGGACGGAUCCGGGCCGGAUCUGGGCGCGGGGAGGCGGAGGAGGACGCGGCAGAGGGCAGCGCGGGGCGCACCAGCGCAGGCGGCGCGGAGGCCUCCGGCGACCGGCGGCGGCGGAAGGCGCAGCUGCGGGGGCAGAGAUCANNNNNNNNNNNNNNNNNNNNNNNNNNNNNNNNNNNNNNNNNNNNNNNNNNNNNNNNNNNNNNNNNNNNNNNNNNNNNNNNNNNNNNNNNNNNNNNNNNNNNNNNNNNNNNNNNNNNNNNNNNNNNNNNNNNNNNNNNNNNNNNNNNNNNNNNNNNNNNNNNNNNNNNNNNNNNNNNNNNNNNNNNNNNNNNNNNNNNNNNNNNNNNNNNNNNNNNNNNNNNNNNNNNNNNNNNNNNNNNNNNNNNNNNNNNNNNNNNNNNNNNNNNNNNNNNNNNNNNNNNNNNNNNNNNNNNNNNNNNNNNNNNNNNNNNNNNNNNNNNNNNNNNNNNNNNNNNNNNNNNNNNNNNNNNNNNNNNNNNNNNNNNNNNNNNNNNNNNNNNNNNNNNNNNNNNNNNNNNNNNNNNNNNNNNNNNNNNNNNNNNNNNNNNNNNNNNNNNNNNNNNNNNNNNNNNNNNNNNNNNNNNNNNNNNNNNNNNNNNNNNNNNNNNNNNNNNNNNNNNNNNNNNNNNNNNNNNNNNNNNNNNNNNNNNNNNNNNNNNNNNNNNNNNNNNNNNNNNNNNNNNNNNNNNNNNNNNNNNNNNNNNGCGCGGGCGGGCCAGCCGUGGGCAAGGCGGGCCGUGGCGGCGCGGGGAGCCGCGGGGCGACGUGGCGGAAGGCGACUGGCUGAGGGCUGCGGCGCGAUUUCGUCCGGUCCGGGACGGACACGUCCGGCGCGGAAAGGGGAAUUUGCUAGGGUUUGGACUGUGGAAAUGAUCCGGGGUUUUCGGGGAGAGGGGCAUAUUUAUAGGUAGAGGGAGCUAGGAGAGUCCAAAUGACGAGCGGUUUUCGGCCACACGAUCGUGAUCAAACGACCGAGAGCAUGGAGGGGAGUUUGCUGGGUUUUGGGCCACUUUGAAGGGGGUGUUGGGAUGCACAUAAAAGAGGCCUUUGCGGUUACCCGGUUAACCGUUGGAGUAUCAAACGGACUCCAAAUGGCACGAAACUUGACAGGCGGUCUACCGGUGCUAUACCAAGGCCGCUUGGGAAACCUCGGUCCAUUCCGAGAAAGUUUAACACCCGCACACGAAAAGAGGCGAGAAGGGGACGCCGGAUGACAUAGGAGUGCCGGAUUGCAAAACGGACAACGGGGAAAAUGCUCGGAUGCAUGAGAUGAACAUGUUUGCAAAAUGAAAUGCACAUGAUGACAUGAUAUGAAAUGCAUAUGAUGACAUGGCAAAGUGCAACACACAAGCAAAUGACAUGGCAACGACGGCGAAUAACUGGCGGACACCUGGCGCAACGAAACCGGGGCGUUACAACACUCCUCCACUAACAAGAGAUCUUGUCCCGAGAUCUUAGGACCGAGACGGAAGGGAAAAAGGGAAGAGGUGAAGCAAGAAAUCAAGAGAAGAAGCAAAGAAUCGAGAGCACUCGAGAAGAAGAGAGGAACGGCGAGAAUGACGAGAAUCGAAAACUCACGGAAUCAGAUAGACUAAGAAAACGGCUCGUUCUAACCGGAGUGGUUAGAAUGAGAAAAUAAACGAAUAAGACUGAAAGAAUUUAGGUAGCGCUUCGGCUGAAACAUGGGGGAAUAGAACACGAGCUUGAGAGGAUGGAAUGAUACUUGAUGAAGACAUGACACCAAACCUCCGGAAAGAAUUGAAAGAGUUGAAUGAAAAGAACGGAUAAGGAUAUGACAACUUGUGCCACGAAUGAAAUAGAAAGCGACCUCGCAAGAAAGGAUUGAACGGAGUUGUUGAGAAAAUCAACAACGAAAGAAUAAGCUUGUUGUGGACUUAUGGAUAACAUCUCAAAAUUAUGAGGUGAUCUCCGACCACAAGCGGAAACGAUUGGAUAGCUGAGAAGAACGAAGAAAUGCAAAACUCCACUUCAAAAGGAUAUGGAGAAUUAAUUGCACUUUGAGACGUGAGGAGAAAAGAUACUAGAACUCCUUGAACAAGAAUCUUGAUGAACUCUUGAAAGAAUGAAUUAAAUCAUGAAGAACCACCAUGAAGAACUCCGGUGACAAAAGGACGAUGAGAUCGAAUGAAGGAAGAAAGAAUAAGAUUAAAGCUUGCAAUGAUUUAGAUGGAGGUUCCGACGAGAUGGUCGAGGGAACUUGAACUCCGGAAAAGAAAAGAUGAAAACACUUGGACCUAGAAUUUAUUCACCAAGAACAAACUCCGAAGGAAGGGAUUAAUCACUUGGAGGAAAUAAGAAUAAGAUUUAUUGUAUGCUUAUCCUUCAUCAAAUUAAAUUGAUGACAGGCAAUGGAUUUAGCAUACUACUUAUUCUUCUUGAAAAGGAUCGAGAAGUGACAUAUCGCAAACUUGAGAAGGUCUUCAUGAACCACCGGUAGCAUUGAAAGAAUGAAUUGAUUAAAAUGAUAAACAAGGAAAAGAAUCUGAAAGAACCACCGUGAGAAUUCGAAAAUGACUGAUGAAAGGGAAUGAAUCACCGGGAAGAAUUAGAAGAACAAAUAUGCUUGAGGGGAUUUAGAUGCAAAAGAACAAAGAGGUCACGAACUGAUUGAAGAAUACUUGAACGAAGCACCGGAAGAAUAUUGAGACGAACGAAAGGGCACGGAUAUAGAAUAAUUCGAUGGGAUAACAUGAAGCUGGAACCACGAAUCUUCGAGAGAACGGACAAGAUUUAGAGGAAAAACUCUUCUUCGAUCUUCGAAGCUGAGAAUGACGACAAGAAACACCACCGAAAUUACUGAGAUACUCCGGGAGAAUGAAAAGCGAAGAGUUUGAGCCAAUAAUGAAAUGAUUUGACAGAGAUCUUGGAAAAUCAUCUGACUGAUGAAAUUCAUUCUUACAUCACACUUGAAAAGAAAUUGAGAAUAACUCCGGGGUAAUUAGAAGAGUCAGGUAAGAUCCUGGGAAAAGACCUGUGGGUUAGGGCCCACUAAAGAAAACACUGUUGGAAAUGAUUGUUGAAAAGAUAGAUGAUGCACCGGAACAAUUGAAAUAUUUGAAUGAGGUGGCAACCUCGAAUUAAUUGGAACACAGACGAAUCUCCUGAGAUGUCUUCCGAACUCCAGAAUGAUUGAAUGGCGAGAGGCAAACGAGCAAGGAGAACACUUGAGCCGAGGAAAAGAAUAUGAUCAACCCGAAAAACUAGAAUUGAGUGCACCGAAAAAAGAAAGGGAUGAAGAGUUACGAACGAGACGAGAAUUCACCGGUUGAAAUAAUUGAGGGAAGACUGAAAGGUUCCACAUGAAUGAAAUAGAUAGUCNNNNNNNNNNNNNNNNNNNNNNNNNNNNNNNNNNNNNNNNNNNNNNNNNNNNNNNNNNNNNNNNNNNNNNNNNNNNNNNNNNNNNNNNNNNNNNNNNNNNNNNNNNNNNNNNNNNNNNNNNNNNNNNNNNNNNNNNNNNNNNNNNNNNNNNNNNNNNNNNNNNNNNNNNNNNNNNNNNNNNNNNNNNNNNNNNNNNNNNNNNNNNNNNNNNNNNNNNNNNNNNNNNNNNNAGAAUCGAUGAAUAACUUGAAGAGAAAACACCGUUUGAAAUGUUUUAGGGAAGAAUGCAACGACUUAGCACGAGUAGAAAGGAUACUCGAUUACAGACUCCGGUUCCGAGAAGAAGAAGGGGUUGGGCGGGUGGGAAAAGAAAACGACUGAGGAUUGAACUUGCAAAAAUGGAGAGGGUCGAAUCACUUUGACGAGAUAUGCACCGGAUGCAAAGAGCUGAGGAGCAACAAUCGGAAAACCAACUGCGUGAUCCUAAAGAAAAAUUUGAAGGGGAAGAGAAGUAGUUCAAAACACCUAUGUCAAGAUUCCUCACCAAGCGACGAAGGGGCAGAGGAGUAAAAAGAAUUCCUACUCUCCGAUAUAACUAGACUCCGAAAACAGUUUUCUUCUAGACUCAACAACGGCCAAACUACACGAUCAAUCAAGGGGGGCUCCUAGGGUCGGUCGAGGCUCUGAUACCAACUUGGCACGCCCAAUAUGAGACCCUAUCCAAAAGAAACUCGAAGGUCCCACCAAGGAUAGACCCACAUAUUGAAACGCUUUUGCAAGGUGGAUAUCAUUACAUCAACAUUACAUAAUAGAUGGGGAUACAUACAAAAGGCAUACAAUGCCACAUGAAUACAACAUCAUCUUACAUAAGAGCACCAUCCGACUACGGAUGAAACACAAACAGAAACUCAAACGACAUCCACCCUGCUAGCCCAGGUUGCCGACCUGGAACCUAUCCCCUGAUCGAAGAAGAAGCAGAAGAAGAACUCCAAAACAAGUAAGCAUCGCUCUCGCGUCAUGAUCAUCGCAUAAACCUGUACCUGCAAUUGUUGUUGUAGUAAUCUAUGAGCCACGAGGACUCAGCAAUCCCAUUACCAUGGGUAUCAAGACUAGCAAAGCUUAAUGGGAAAGGAAGGGGUAAAGUGGUGAGGUUGCAGCAGCGGCUAAGCAAGUAUGGUGGCUAACAUACGCAAAUGAGAGCGAGAAAAGGAGCAAAGGAACGGUCGUCAACUAGUAAUGAUCAAGAGGUGAUCCUGAACACCUACUUACGUCAAACAUAACACAGAAACCGUGUUCACUUCCCGGACUCCGCCGAGAAGAGACCAUCACGGCUACACACGCGGUUGAUGCAUUUUAAUUCAGAUCUGGUGUCAAGUUAUCUAUAACCGGACAUUAACAAAUUCCCAUCUGCCACAUAACCGCGGGCACGGCUCUCGAAACUUUAAACCCUGCAGGGGUGUCCCAACUUAGCCCAUGACAAGCUCUCGCGAUCAACGAAGGAAUAGACCUUCUCCCAGGAAGACCCGAUCAGUCUCGGAACCCCGGUUUACAAGACAUUUCGACAAUGGUAAAACAAGACCAGCAAAGCCGCCCGAUGCGCCAACAUCCCGAUAGGAGCUGCACAUAUCUCGUUCUCAGGGCAACACCGGAUAAGUCAAGCUACGAGUAAAACCAUACUUCGAGUUUCCCCGAGGUGGCCCCGCAGGUUGCUCGGUUCGGACCAACACUUAGACAAGCACUGGCCCGGGGGGGCUAAAAUAAAGAUGACCCUUGGGUUGGCCGACCCAAGGGAAGGGUAUAGAUGGUGGUGAGGCAAAUGGUAAAACCAAGGUUGGGCCUUGCUGGACAAGUUUUAUUCAAAGCGAACUGUCAGGGGGGUCCCAUAAAUCACCCGACCGCGUAAGGAACGCAAAAUCCAGGAACAUAACACCGGUAUGACGGAAACUAGGGCGGCAAGAGUGGAACAAAACACCAGGCAUAAGGCCGAGCCUUCCACCCUUUACCAAGUAUAUAGAUGCAUUAAUUAAAUAAGAGAUAUUGUGAUAUCCCAACAUAAAUCCUGUCCACCAUGGAGAAAUCUUCAACUUCACCUGCAGCUAGCAACGCUAUAAGAGGGGCUGAGCAAAAGCGGUAACAUAGCCAAGCAACGGUUUGCUAGGAAUGGUGUCAAAGGUUAGAGGUUCAUGGCAAUUUGGGGAGGCUUGAAGAACAAGUGAUAGGUAACGUAGCAUAGCGAUAGAACGAAGCAACUAGCAUAGCAAUGAUAGUAGUGAGAUCCAGGGUAACGGUCAUCUUGCCUGAAAUCCCGCAAGGAAGAAGAACGAGUCUAUGAAGGAGAUGAAGCCACGAAGACGAACCACACAUAGACGAACGCAUCCUCACGAUCGCAACGAAACGGGAACUAUCGAGAAGAAGCACACAACAUGGUAAACACACCACACAUAGACAAGACAUGAUGCACAACAAGCAUGAUGCAUGACAAAGGCUACAUGAAGCUACUCAUGGCAAGAGAUGAUGCAAACAAGAACAACACAUCAAGGCAAGUUUAAAUGAGGCCGGAAACAACAUAUAACAAUUCCGAGGUAAGUCCUCAUAUGCAAAUUUCGAAAUUGGUCCAGAUCUGAAUAAACCUUAUGUUCAAGUUGUUAAACAUCAAGUUAAAGUGCACCAAGAUGAUCUACACGAGAUUCUGGUCAAGUUACAUAUAAAGUUCAUUAGAUUCGGAGCUACGGCCUAGAAGAUAUGAGCAAAACAAGUUAAACAUGGCAUCGAUGCAAAAUGCAUACAAACAUCAAGCAAACACCUCAAAACAAGGAUGCAAUAUGAUAAUACGGCACUACAUGCAAAAUCAAGCAAGUUUCAUAUAGAGCACACUCAAAACGGAGCAACGGUUCAACACAUACACUCUAUACAAGUCAUAGCAACAAUCUGUCCAUAACAGCAACUAGGCAUAUUGCAAGCAUCAAAACAACAUGCUACAACACCCCAACAUAAGAACAAAAGGCAUGGGCAUGAAGUACAGGUAAAGCACAACAAAACAUGAACCCUGAGCUAUCUCCAGAAAAUACUAGAACAUGCUCAAAAAGACAUGGGAAGAUUGCAAAUAAUAACAGUUUCAGACUUGUCAGGAAAUAACAUCAGGUUGCAAUGUUUAGAGCUAUCAAACAACAUGUUACAGGAACUUAUCAUGGCAAACAAAGGCAUGGAAUGAAUCUACUAAUUGCAUAGAUCAAAAGUCCCUUACUGACCAUGAGCCAAAAGGGCACAGAAAAUAUGAUGGCACCCAUGUAAACAUGGCAAGUUAUAUUAGAGAUUCAUACAUGGCAGGAACAACAAUAAGUAGGCAUGUUGGUGAGCUUGGACCACUCACCACAGAGCAAUACAUGGCAUGGCAAGGCAACCAACAGUAAGAAUACAUGUUUAUGAAGCUAAGAAUGGCAAGUGCAAGGUCAUAGGGUGCAUGGAACACUAGCAAAACACAUGGGAACAAGUGAACUUAAUGUUAACAGGCUGAUAGCAACAUUUUCAAGCAACUUUGGAGGAGGAAAUGAACAAGCUACAGUAAGCUAUAAAUGCAACCAGGGGCACGGAUGGAUAGGGAAUAACAUGUAGAUCAAAACAUGUUUAUAGAACAUCUCCAGAUUAUGCAUAGAAUGAUUAGUAGCAACAUGUUUAUAUAGCAUCAAAAUAUAACAGAAUCUGUCAGGAAAACAGCAACAGCAAGUACACUACAUAACAAGCUCGAUUCACUCACCACAAAUCAUUGCAUGACAAGAUAAGCAUAGCAUCAUCAAGAAGUUAUGUUUAUGUAACCAACCAAGGCAAAAACAAGUCCAUAGUAUGCAAGGAUCAACUAUAGCAUCCUUGGCUAAAUUGAAUAACAAGUAAACAAUCUGCCAGGAAACAUUUUGAAGCAAAAGUAGAGCACUCAAAUAACAUGCUAGGCUACUCCAUAAUUACAAAAAAGGGCAUGAAUGGAUAGACAAAAACCACAUGUUCAAAACACCCUUACUGAAGUAACUCAAAAUAUGCAUGGAUCUCUCUGUAGCCUCAAGUUUACAUGGCAUCAAAAUAACAGCAGAACAGGGACUAAAAUCAGCAAUAUCAGGAAGCCUAGUUUGCAUGCUUGUGCUGGUCACCACAUUGAUCACAAAAAUACAUGGCAAACACCCCUGGAAAGAUGGCAUGGCGUAGAUCAAAACACAUGUAGACAUCAACCUCAUAGGAUGCACACAACAAUCAUGGCCAAAAUUACAAAUGAGCAUGUUAUAACAGUUUCAGCAGAUUAACAUCAACAUGCACUCUUCCAACAGCAUUUCGGGCAUAAAGAUGAGCUCAAAUGAAAAUGAUGCAAUGGGAUGAAAUGAAGUACUCGUUGAGGCGAACAAUUUGACAUAUUAUACGCACGAAACGAAGCUACGGAUGUAGAGAUGUGAUGCGAUGAAGAUGCAACAAUUUUACCACAGAUUAAGGACUUAGUGGAUUUCGGGGGGAAAGUCAACCUUCGGUGGAUCUCGCCGGAAUCCCACCGGAGUUGGAGGAGACGGCGGCCGGAGCGCGGGAGAGGUCUGGGAGGCCGGCAGAGGACGGAUCCGGGCCGGAUCUCGCCGGAUCCGGUCGGAUCUGGGCGCGGGGAGGCGGAGGGUGGCGCGAGGCGCACCGGCGCGGGCGGCGCGGAGGCCUCCGGCGNNNNNNNNNNNNNNNNNNNNNNNNNNNNNNNNNNNNNNNNNNNNNNNNNNNNNNNNNNNNNNNNNNNNNNNNNNNNNNNNNNNNNNNNNNNNNNNNNNNNNNNNNNNNNNNNNNNNNNNNNNNNNNNNNNNNNNNNNNNNNNNNNNNNNNNNNNNNNNNNNNNNNNNNNNNNNNNNNNNNNNNNNNNNNNNNNNNNNNNNNNNNNNNNNNNNNNNNNNNNNNNNNNNNNNNNNNNNNNNNNNNNNNNNNNNNNNNNNNNNNNNNNNNNNNNNNNNNNNNNNNNNNNNNNNNNNNNNNNNNNNNNNNNNNNNNNNNNNNNNNNNNNNNNNNNNNNNNNNNNNNNNNNNNNNNNNNNNNNNNNNNNNNNNNNNNNNNNNNNNNNNNNNNNNNNNNNNNNNNNNNNNNNNNNNNNNNNNNNNNNNNNNNNNNNNNNNNNNNNNNNNNNNNNNNNNNNNNNNNNNNNNNNNNNNNNNNNNNNNNNNNNNNNNNNNNNNNNNNNNNNNNNNNNNNNNNNNNNNNNNNNNNNNNNNNNNNNNNNNNNNNNNNCGGCGCGGGGAGCCGCGGGGCGACGUGGCGGAAGGCGACUGGCUGAGGGCGGCGGCGCGAUUUCGUCCGGUCCGGGACGGACACGUCCGGCGCAGAGAGGGGAAUUUGCUAGGGUUUGGACUGCGGAAAUGAUCCGGGAUUUUCGGGAAGAAGGGCAUAUUUAUAGGUAGAGGGAGCUAGGAGAGUCCAAAUGAGGAGCGGUUUUUGGCCACGCGAUCGUGAUCGAACGACCGAGAGCAUGGAGGGGAGUUUGCUGGGUUUUGGGCCACUUUGAAGGGGGUGUUGGGCUGCACACAAAAGAGGCCUUUGCGGUUACUCGGUUAACCGUUGGAGUAUCAAACGGACUCCAAAUGGCACGAAACCUGACAGGCGGUCUACCGGUGCUAUACCAAGGCCGCUUGGCAAACCUCGGUCCAUUCCGAGAAAGUUUAACACCCGCACACGAAAAGAGGCGAGAAGAGGACGCCGGAUGACAUAGGAGUGCCGGAUUGCAAAACGGACAACGGGAAAAAUGCUCGGAUGCAUGAGAUGAACAUGUUUGCAAAAUGAAAUGCACAUGAUGACAUGAUAUGAAAUGCAUAUGAUGACAUGGCAAAGUGCAACAUGCAAGCAAAUGACAUGGCAACGACGGCGAAUAACUGGCGGACACCUGGCGCAACGAAACCGGGGCGUUAUAUGUGUCGAUAUCAGAACCCAAGAAAGUUGCUGAAGCUUUUAUGGAACCUGAAUGGAUUCAAGCUAUGCAAGAAGAACUUCAACAGUUCAAGCUAAACAAUGUUUGGGAACUUGUCAAGCGACCUGACCCUCGCAAGCAUAACAUUAUUGGAACAAAAUGGAUAUAUUGAAAGAAGCAAGAUGAGCAUGGUCAAGUCGUCAGAAACAAAGCACGUCUUGUGGCUCAAGGAUAUACUCAAGUUGAAGGAAUUGAUUUGAAGGAAUUGACUUCGAUGAAACAUUUGCUCCUGUGGCUAGGCUUGAAGCCAUUCGCAUACUGCUAGCCUACGCAAAUCAUCACAACACCUUGCUAUAUCAAAUGGAUGUGAAGAGUGCAUUUCUCAAUGGCAAGAUUGAAGAAGAAGUAUAUGUAGCUCAACCACCUGGCUUUGAAGAUCCAAAACAUCCUGAUAUGGUGUACAAGCUAAACAAAGCACUGUAUGGCCUCAAACAAGCUCCUCGUGCAUGGUAUGAUACGAUCAAAGACUUCCUGAAGAGCAAAGGCUUCAAACCUGGAUCCCUCGAUCCCACACUCUUCACGAAGACAUAUGAUGGUGAACUGUUUGUGUGCCAAAUAUACGUGGAUGACAUAAUCUACGGCUGCACCAACCAGAAGUAUAGUGAUGAGUUUGGAUACAUGAUGCAAGAGCAAUAUCAGAUGUCCAUGAUGGGUGAGCUGAAGUUCUUUCUUGGUCUUCAAAUUCGUCAGCAAAGGAAUGGCAUCUUCAUAUCUCAAGAAAAAUACCUCAAAGAUUGUCUGAAGAAGUUUGGAAUGGAAGACUGCAAAGGUUACAUGAUGCCAAUGCCAGCCAAACACCAUCUUGGUCCCGACGACAAUGGUAAAGAGUUCGAUCAAAAGGUAUACCGCUCCAUGAUUGGUUCUUUACUUUAUCUAUGUGCAUCUAGGCCAGAUAUUAUGCUUAGUGUUUGCAUGUGUGCUCGAUUCCAAGCGGCACCAAAGGAAUCGCAUCACUUAGCUGUGAAGCGAAUUCUUCGAUAUUUGGCUUACACCCCAACACUCGAAUUAUGGUAUCUCAAGGGCUCAAAAUUUGAUUUGGUUGGAUUCUCGGAUGCUGAUUAUGCUGGUGACAAGGUGGAUCACAAGUCUACAUCAGGCACAUGUCACUUUUUGGGUCGAUCACUUGUCUGUUGGUCUUCAAAGAAGCAGAACUGUGUAUCACUCUCAACUGCUGAAUCUGAAUACAUUGCUGCUGGAUCUUGUUGCGCUCAGCUUCUAUGGAUGAAGCAAACUCUCAAGGACUAUGGCAUCAAUCUGAAACAAGUACCUCUCUUCUGCGACGACCAAAGUGCCAUCAAGAUAGCCAACAAUCCAGUUCAGCACUCAAAGACAAAGCACAUUGAAAUUCGUCAUCACUUUCUCAAAGAUCAUGUCAUGAAGAAAGAUAUCAACAUCAUUCAUGUCAACACUGAAGAGCAACUGGCAGAUAUCUUCACAAAGCCCUUGGAUGAGAAAAGGUUUUGCAAGUUACGGUGUGAGCUAAAUAUCUUGGAAUCCUCUAAUGUCCUGUGAUCAGGCACACAUCCUAACACUUAUGCAUGUUGAUGACUUAGAUGUGCAACACACGAAGUACUGUAUAUCUUCAAUCAAUGAAGACUUACAUUUUGAGCGUGAAUACAUUAACAUGGAAUUUGACUUCGGAGCGCCACGAUAAUUGUGCGCCGUGUCUGGGUCUAAUACUUCCUAUACGGUGGGUAACGCCACCACCAAAUUUCUCUGUUGGAAGUGUUUCACUCAUGGCGUUAUUUUGCAAUGACUUCGCAUUUGGUUUGUCUUCUGUUUCAAUUUAUCUUCAUGAUUCUCUUCACUAUGAUGAUUUGGUUACUUUCUGAUAUAUAUAUAUACUAGUGUUCUGUCCUUUACAGCAUUCACUUAUUGCUAUGUCUUCAAGUUGAAUCUUUUGAACUAAGUGAAUGUGAUCGGACCCUAACCUCUCUAUGCUUUCAAUCUCAAACUCUAUCUGUCCAAAUCAUAUGCAUUCUAUUGAAACUGUCGAAUGUCUUCUCUGCGUCCUAGUCAGCAGAAGGCACAGAGACAAACAUUAAGUCUGUUUUAAAUAACUCAUCUUUAUUGUUGAAAUCCGGAGAAGCCGGAACAACUAUCCGACAUGCCUGGCGGGCGUGGGAACGUGGGACAACUCUAAGUAUGUUGCAUGCUUGCCACGUGCCCCUCAGAUGUGAACCGUCAGGGGCACCAGCGUAAUUGCGCUGUGCCACACACCUCCUUAUAAAUACUUGUCCCCUGCGGUCAAGAAAUCCUUCUUCCACCUCUCCGCCUCGUCAAAACCCUAGAGCCACCGCUAGCUCUCGACGACGCCGGCGACGAAGCUCUUAGCUAUCGCGACUUCUCCGACGCUGUCCUCACGCCGGCCGCGGACAUCAUCCUCUCCACCGUCGCCGUAGGUGUCCUCCGUUGCCAAGUUAGGGCAUUGUGGACUGAACUGCUCGGUCUCCUAUUCAUCCCAUCUAGCAGUUCUUCGUGCGGUAAUUAUAACUCUAUUUUUACCACCUUUUUGAUCUUCAAGAUUCAUCCUACUUACCGAAAGUGGUUUCUGCCUACACAGUGUUAAAUCUAUUCUGUCUGCAUCUCAUACUGCCUAGUCUAUUCACUUAAAUUACAUAUCCAGUUUGAUUCCUCACUAGUACUUAUUCAUGGAUUCGUACAAAUCUGGAACCAACUCACCCCAUAUAAGUGAAUGUCUUCGCAUCAUGAGGUCAAUGUCUUCAAACUGAUUUAUCUUCAAAAUCUUCUGAGAAUGCAUAUGACCUCUUUCCCUUCCCUCGCAUCUCUAAUGCUGUCACGGGUACAUGUCCGUGGGAGAAUCCCUUGGUUCUCAUAGUCUGCAUUCGUUUGCAGAAUACUUACAGCAUCACAUUAACUCUCCCGAAGCCAGUUCCUUCUUGACCAGCAAGUGUAAGUCUCUGAAGCCUUUGAACGUCUUGAAGCCAUUCAGUUUGAAGUUCAUGGCUGCAGGGAAAUCAGUAAGGAAGGGUGGCAGAUAGCGCCGAGAGGGAACAUCCAAAGAUCUGCCUGAUGACCUAGCAGAGCUCUACAAGACAGAUCCCGAAGAGAAUUAUCAUCAGCACAAGACACGAAUCCAAUGGAUUCGACGCUAUUGGGCUGAAGAAUGGUUCAAGUACAAGUUCGUGACCAAGGAAUAUGCAGAGAAGAAUGCUAUCAAGAGUCCUUGGGGCGAUAUUCUCUAUCGAGGCCUUCAACCCAAGAACAGAGCUGAAGCUAUUGCACAAGAUUUCUAUCCUUGUAUGGUCCGUGGACCUCAGCCUGAGAACGCCGAUCCCUCAUCAUUACUCUGGUGUCGUGAUGAUACUCUCUUCAAGCGCAACUUCCAGCACGCCAAGGCUUCGGCCAAGGAAAACAAGAAGUCAUUGGGAUUAGACUUCAACCCUGGUCCCUCUGCUCCCCGUGCUGACGGCUCACGUGAUGCAGAACCUAAUGUCAUCGGCCCCUUCUCCAACCUUGAUGGCCUCAUCACCUACAUCCUGGUCCAAGGUGCCAGGGUAGAUCAUUCUGGUAAUGAUGCCGACACUGAUGAAGCCCCAGCUCCUCCUCCAAAGUCGCAGAAGCAAAAGAAACCAAAGGCUUCUAGAUCAGCACCUCCAAAAGCUUCACGUGCGAAGCCACUGGCCACUGCACCUCCUGAAGAUAGUGUGCAGUCUGAAGAUCAAUCACGUAUCUCCAAGAGGACGGAGAAGAAAAAGGAAAUUGUCAGGCAUACUGAUCAAACCUUGACUCCUGCUACCAUUCUGCGUGAAGAACCCAUUGAUCUGUCCAGCGAUGAAGAUCUAGCAGAUGAUGCCCUUGAACAACUGAUCAAAAGCAAGGAAGAAGCAGAGAUCUUCAAAAACUUGCCUCUCUUUGAUGUGGCAAUCAUCCAUAACUUCAUUGAUGAGUGGUUUGACACACCAAAUCUCAGCUUUGAAGAUCUGCAGCUUCCCAUCGGCCUCAACGUCUCUUUCAAUGGCGCCAUUGCUUCUAAGCUAGCUCUUGCUCAGCGCAUCGUUGAGCUAAAGAACAAAAUUGAUUAUGAGAAGGCUCAAUUCAAGAAGCAUGUGGCGAAGCUCAGUGUGCAAGAUGUCGGAAACUUCAAGGUCAUGCUGCAUGAGCUUAAAGAAGCCUUUCUCAAGAAGCGCCAAGAAGCUCAGGGCUCUCGCGAGCGCAUGAAGAGUUUGGCUGACAAAUGCGUGCUUGCAUACAAUGAGGCUGAGAAGCGCAAGUCUCUUGGUCGUCCUGGCAUUGACCCCAGGAUGGCUGCAAAGAAGAAGAAGCUCUCUACUGCCCAGCCUGCACCUUCAAGUCAAGAAGCCCCUCGCAUUGUCUUCCCAAGCAGCAUGACUGGCUCGAAGCCAAAGGUCCUUUCAACCGCUUCAGAACAGAAGAAGACGAGGACUGCCGAGGCUGAAGCCAGAAAGAGGAAGAAUACUGAAGCCUCUGAUGCCGCUCCCUCCAAGAAGAAGCGCAAGACCAAGAAGAAUCGGGCUGCUCCCACAGAGCCCUUGGUUGUUGAACCCAUCUCAGUGGUUCGCCCUGCGUCUAAACAUCAAGAACGACGGAUGAUUGUUCAUGAGCCUGCUACCACAGAGGCCCAUGAAGCUGAAGACAUUCUAGCAGCUGAACCCACCGCUGCUGAAGACAUUGGUCAAGAUGACAAUGUUGAAGAUGAUGAAAUUCUUCCUCAGAUCGAACACAACGUAUUAUCAUCGCCUGUUCUCAUGAACAGCGAACUAAUCAGCAUUGGUCGUCCUCUGACGCCAAUUGCUCAGGAUGCAUCGUGGGCUGAUCACCCACAGCAACAAGACUCCCCAAGUACUCCCCAACAACAACAACAAGUUACACCACCCAUGCAAGUAGAAGAAGAAGACUUUGAGGCCCAGCCAACUCCAUCUCCAAAGGCGUCGCCAGCAUUUCGCAGGCUUCGCAAAGGACAAAGGCCUCAAGUCCCUCUCGCGAGCGUUCCAGAAGGAGAAGUGCAUCACCAACCUGUUGCACGUCAAGUGUUUCCUGAAGCCACUCCAACUGUGAAUGUCUCCGUGUCUGAAGCCCAAGCUGCUGAAGACAAUCCGGCUGCAUCAGCCGAUGAAAGACAAGAAGACGUACAUGUCCCUACUCCCCCAGUUAUUGAAGAAGCUAUUCCUGAUGUGAACGUGCCAGUGCCCGACCCUCCAGCUCGUCAAGUGGAGGUUGAAAAUCCUGAAGCUGCCACUACCAACGCAAGUGAAGCCAUUGACGUAGUCAUGGCUGAAGCUAAUGUGGAGGUUGCACCAACCAGUGUGCCUGAAGCUAAUGAGGCAACUGCUCCUGAAGCACCUGUUGUGCAGCCUGAAGCCUCAGCUGUUGCCACUGCUCCUGUUCCGCCAUCAAGGCCCCAUACAAUUGAGCAAGCAUACAAUCAUGGUCAGCUAACCACUGUCCGAUGGCCCAUUCUGGUACCUCCGCCUACUGCCUUUGGACCUCAAUUUGAUUAUCAUGUUGAGCAUAGGCCUCAGGUCCAGAAACCAAAGCCAACACUGCCAAGGUUCCCAGGUACUGCAAACUCUUCAGGGUCCUUCAAUGCAAAUGGCUUCAAAAGCCACAAUACCUUCUUUGACAGCGCCAAGAACCCCUACUCAAAGCCAAGGAUAUCAUCUGAUCGGUUCUGGAGUUAUCAGCAGCGAAACUAUUACUUCUGCGUUCUGUAUGAUCAAGGGCACAUUUUCCCUCAUAUGCGCCUCGACACUGAAGCCAUUGCUGGACUGCCGUGCUUAGAAGAAGCACUUGACUGUUUUCGUGAUGCCGGUCUGCUCAGCUUUGUGACAGACAAAGAACACUGGAAUGAAAAAUUUUUGCUUCAAUUCUAUGCUACCCUCCACAUUGCGGCUACAACAGAGACAUCAAGACAUGGAUUCUCGAGUGGAUGACUGGAAAUGUUCAUCAUGAAGCCAAAGCUCUUGAUAUCAUUGAGCUUACUGGCCUACCCACUCCCGGACAGCUCUAUGAACCUGACUGUCAACUACAUCGCAAUGCACUGGAGAGCAUCUUCCAUAAGCCUGAACCCAAUAUGAGCCAGAUGUUGAGCAUGGUGAAGCCUUUGCCAUCUGACGCUGAAUAUCCAACGGAGUUCUUUGUUGAUGACCUUGAGUAUCUGCCUCGCACCAUAUAUCAUAUCAUCAGGCGAACUCUAUGGCCUAUCAAAGGACAUUCAUCAGCUGCAAAGCUUGAAGGAGCCAUGAAGACAUUGGUCUUUUACAUCCUCAAUGGCAUCAGCUUCAAUUCCCAAGAAUUCUUCACCAUGCAACUUGCUGCGUCUGGAUCUGACCUUUUUGGUCUGAGUUCUAUGCUCCAUGGGUCAUGCGCCUCAUCAAGCGACACUCAUCUGUCAACUAUCAGCCCUCUGCUCGCAAUCAUCUGAUCUUUUUGCCAGAGGUUGAUAUGUCAGUUGAAGCCAUAUACUCUGACCCUGCCAAGAAGCCUCUUUGUCUUCAGAAUGUCGAGCACCAAAGCUUCACUCAACCCAUCGAAGGCGUCCAAGCAGCAACACAUAUCUAUCCAAUGGCUGGAAAUACUCGUCUGCCUCAUCGUGCGCAAACUGAAGCCACUGAAAGCACCAUUGCCCAAAGGCCUAAGAAGCGCUCUCGUGUUCUCAAUGACCGAGAACUUCUUGUGGUACUUCAUCAGAAACAAGAUAAGCAUCACUAUUGGCUCAAGAGAUAGAUGCAAAGCCUCUUGGUAGAUGUCAAUCGCAUUCGAAAUCUUGCCACCAAGAAUGCAUUUGUUGCUCACGAGACUUGUCGGCGAUCAUGGAAGAGUUUGACGCUGCUUAGUGCUGAAGCAGAUCUUCAAGACGAUGGCUUCGCUGAAAGAUUCCAGUUUGACUCCACUCCUCCAUGGACUGUUGUCCUACGUCAAACUCCAUCCCUUGAAGACUCUGACUAUUCUUCCUCCACGGCAACUGUGAAUGCCAGAGUGAUCGAUGAUGAAGAUGAUGCUACUUCACCGCCUCCCACUUCUGCAUGCAUCAACACUGCACCAAGUACGUAUGCACCACCAAGCAACAACGACAACCCUGCUGCUUCACCUACUCUCGAGAACGAGUAGAUGCUUUAUGUCUUAAAACCUUUUUGGUCAUUACUGACAAAAGGGGGAGAAGCAUAUGAGUUGAUAGUCUUCAAGCGGGUUCAUAUGGGCGGUUGCAUUAUAUUUUGCCUCGUGCUUACAACUCUUGCUUUUGAAACAUUUGGCUCUUUGAGUUGUAACACCUAAACUCGAUGGUCGUCUGCUACUUAUUUGCUUUACUGUGAUGCGAUGAUAAAUUCCGCAUGUGCGAUGAUAACUUCCGCACUUAGAUCAUUCUGCAGACGUCCAUUUUUCAUUAUGCAUGUCAUUCUACUUGCUAUAUCAUUUCAUGCAUGAUGAAUUAUCUUCAUAAGUUGAAGAGGAUCUCCACAAGUACAACCUGCCAUGUGCAUUUGCAUUUCAAAAGCAAAUUACUUAUAUGCACAUCUUCAGGGGGAGCCUUUGCGCCUUAUGAAGACAAUAUCAUAUCCUUUACAAUUUCACAUACUUUAUCCCCGUUGAAAACUUCAACCAGUUUGUCAUCAAUCACCAAAAUGGGGGAGAUUGUAAGUGCAUCUAGUGCCACCCCUAGUUGGUUUUGGAGUAUUGACGACAAAGUUGGUUGAGGGACUAAUGCGUUUGUGAGAAUUGCAGGAUAACGCAGGUAGUGUCCCUCAUUGAUUCGGUUUACCUACCGGAGAUGACCCCUAAAAAUGUGUGAAGACAUUGAAGACAAUGGUGGUAUGUGAAAAUAUCCAUAUUGAAGACUAUGACAUGAGAAGACAUUCGGUGAAGACUAUGGAGCACGAAGACUGUGUGGUUUCGUUGUUUCCUUUUCUUCUUUGUUGAGUCAUAAGAACCACCGUACUGUUAAGUGGGGUCCAAGUGAACUAAGUCAGAAGAAGUGAUGCUCAACCCAAAUCCUAUGUCUUCGAGCGAAGACAAUGAGAGCAAAUCUUAUCCAGAGCUGGAUGAGUCAGCUUUGCUUGUAGCCCAAGUAAAGUUGCCGUGUGUGUUUGAAAUCUGACCGUUGGAACACGUGUCAGUUCCUUAGUGACCUAGGGUCAUUUCGGACAUAUCAGGUCGGGUUGCUCAGUGGCUAUAAAUAGCCCACCCCCUACACCAUAAAUUGGUGGCUGCUCAGAGUUAGUGCACGGCUUUUGUCGUUUGAGAGCAGCCCACCUCGAAGCCUUUGAGAGAGAGAAAUCCUUGCGAGGACCAAGCCCAAACACCCAGAGCCAAAGAGUGUUAGUCAUCACUGAAGUCUUUCUGUCUGUGUGACCUGAAGACUUAUUACACUUGAGGACUGUGAAUCCUCCAGCCGGUUAGGCGUCGCGUUCUGAGCAUCCAAGAGUCAUUGUGGAUCGCCGGUGAACAAAGUCUGUGAAGGUUUGGAAGUCUACCUUAAAGACUUACCAGAGUGAUUGGGCGAGGACUGUGUGUCCUUAGCUCAAGGGGAAUAAGGUGAAGACACGAUCUUCUGAGUUGAAUCUCAGCCUCCCUAACCAGACGUACAGUUGUCACAGCAACUGGAACUGGUCCAACAAAUCCUGUGUCUUCAACAAGUGACUGGUUCUAUCCUCUCCCUUCCUUUACUUAAGUUUGUCUUUGUGAAGUCAUUAUCUAUCUGUCGUACCUGUUUGACUUCAUUGCUUGACUACUACUGUUGAUUGGCUUCAUACUAUCUUCCAUCCUGAUCCUUACUACUUAGCUGCUAUUAGUCAUGUACCUUCACAUCAUUGCAUACUUGACUAUGGUUAGCCUAUUGUAGUUUAUCUUCCGCUGCAUAUCAAUUAGGUCAUUCCUACUGUUUGUCUUCGAAACUAUCAUGUUUUGAAGACUUUCAUAAAAAUCGCCUAUUCACCCCCCCUCUAGUCGAUACUAGCACUUUCACAUAGGGAUGUUGGAAUAGAUGGGGUUGCUCUUUCAGUUUGUAAGCUCAUUGUUGCCAUGCAUCAACUCAUAAUCUUCGGAGCCCUUUGGGAACAACUCGAAUGAUGGCUCAUUGUCCCAAAUGCCGGUUGUUGCACUCCUGGGUGCAUCACAGAAGUGUGGGGGUUCCGAGGUGAGACGUUGCCUUCUAUCUCAAAACUCACCCUUUGUUGCUCAUGAGUUUCAGCGACCUCUAUUGCAACUUCUUGGUUCUUUUUCAGCUCCCCAUUGACUUGAUCCUUGUUCAUGAUAGGUAUUGCAGCUUCAACCUCAGCUUGACCAUCAAUGCCGACGUUUGCAGCUUGAGCAUCACUCUCUUUCUGUUGAUUUUCAUCCAUGGUAGGUGUUGCAAAGGAAAUGUUGGGCUCAUCGGAAGCUGUGAUGGCGUCUCCUACAUCAUGAAGCAGAGCGGCCAUCCGGUUGCACUGCAAUCCCUUUAAACCUUGUCCAAACUUCCCUACUACAUCAUCAACCUCCGCUGCAAAAAUCCCCUUGUGCUUGUCAUACAUCAUUUGGAACUGAUCUAGUACCUACAAAGGCAUGUGUUGAACAAUUUAGUCAUCUUGUGCGUAGCUUCGAAUUAUCAUGUAUGUAGCCUUUUGAAAAAGUAUGGAUGUAACAAAAACAUAAUGUGUUUGUAGCACAUUAUAGGUAUGGAUGAAGCAAAAAACAAGUAGGCCUGCGGCUGUAUCACUAUGUAUUAAAACACAAAUGUGGUUGUAGCAGAUUACUGAUAUGGAUGAAGCAAAAACAGGUAAGUAUGCACCUGAACCCACUAUGUAUCAAAACUGAAAUGUGGUUGUAGCACAUCAGAGUAAUGGAUGUAGCAAAAAGAAUAUGCACUUGCAACUAGGUACAUAAAUUGAUGCAGGGGCUAACAAAAAAGGAUAUGAAAAAUGAAAGGAGAAGAUGAAGAUGAACAAAAACUUCCCUCAGAUCUUGCAUGGUAGGGAAUGAUUGUUGCAGCCAAUCGUUGAGCGAUGAUGAUAGGUUUGGUUCAACCUCAACAUUUGCUUGAGCCUCAUUUGAUUGAGUGGCCUUUGCUUGCUUUUCAACACCUUGAACUUGGCUUCCUUGGCCAUUAGCUACAUCGGCACCAACUCCCUGCGCAUUGGCUGCUUUAGCACCAAUUUCCAGUCCCACAAGUUGUGCGGCAUAUGGUGUGUUGCACAAAUUCCGGAUCUUGAAACAAGAAAGGAAAAAAAAGAACAUGAGGCAAAAUAAGAAGGUUGCCAUAAUCUGAAAACAAAGCAAAAAUUGCUACAUGCAAAUUCAGUAAGCAAACAAACAGGGAUGUAGCAAAAUUACUUGGGUAUGUUUCUCGUAGAAAGGCUGGACAAGAGUAAACUUGUUCUUGUCAACUUUAUCCAACCAAUUGAAAUCCUUUCGACAAAUAAAACAUAUCCUUAACACAGAAUAAUCAAUGACAUGCUCGUUUGGAAGGCCGGCCGAAAUAUCAACAUGAUCCAUAUAUAUGAUCUGCAUAGAAUGAAAAACGAUAUUUAGCAAACAAAAACAUGAAAUGCGAGCUAUAUACAUAAAUGCAGCAAAGAAAAGGAUGGAGGUGUCUCGUCAUGGAAACGUUGCAUACCGCUAACAUGGGAAGGCAUGAGCAAAUCUGGAACUCUACUGGAUUUUCUGCUGUUACUUGCAUCCUCUUCUUCUCUUGAAAGACUACAACCUCCUCCAUUGCUCGUGUCAACAAGUGUUUAUCCCAAGCGAGGUCAUGCAUCGAGUGCAUGUCUUCAAGGGAAGAUAGAUACUCAAGGUUAACCAUAUUACCAGUGCCUGGGCACACAACUGUUGCCAACGCAAUGAGUGCCCAUGUCCUAUUUAUCAUAACCUUGUCCUCAUUGCCGCAAUCUUUAAGCAACUUGAUAACAUGUGCAAUUGGCGCCCUGUUUCCCUCCUUGUAUAUGUUGCAAAGGACAUGUUCAUCGCUCUUUUUUAAAAGCUUCACAGGUCCAUCACCGGAUGGCACAUUGAAGAUCCUUUUCACCAUGAGCUUGCUGAAGUUGAUGGACUUGUUCUUGUAAUGGAACUCACGGAGUAUGUGAUUCGUGUGCAUCACAACAAGCUCGAUUUGCUCAUGAGGCACUUUGAAAGGCUGGAUGUCGAGCAAGUCUCCGAAUGGUCCCUUCCUUAUAAUUCUCUGCUUCUCCGAUGAUAACAACUUCCCAAGAUCACCCAGCCGUUUUGAGUUAAACCUCAACGUGAAACCACAUAGAUUGCCUUUCUUCUUAUUCUUCUUCUUAACCUUCUUACUCCCCUCAUUCUCACCAGAAAACUAAAUUAAAUCUAUGCUGCAUCAAAACAGUAGCUAGAAAACAUAUACACGCACACAUUAAAAAAAUCUGAAAACCUAUGAAACACACAAGUAUGUAUAGAAUAAUAUUGCUCUCUGAAAUUAGCAUGUAUAAUAAUGUAAAAUCAACAAGAUCCAUGAAACAAAAAAAAAUACAUCGGUUGAAAACGUGAUUAAUUUAAGUUUCCAGAUUGGGAAUAGGCAAUGAAAUCGAGUGGAUAACACGAGAAAAGCUAACAGGUUCCAACACAUUUUAGUCACGAGCAAAAACAUACAACCUAUGAAAAGCGACAAACAAAAACUAAAGCCCACGUGCACAAAUUAACGAUAAAUCAACAUUUGAUGUUCAUCAGAAUCACCACCAAAUGCUUCAAAAUCAACCAACCAGGUGCUGCGUUUAAAAAUGGAGGAAUCUCUUAACCAAUUGCUAUCUUUUUCCUUGCUAAAUAGUCACAAACCCCAGAGGAUCACCACAACAUUGAAGAACCCAACACAGGUUUUCAUAGGAUAUGCAUUAGCAGCAAAAUAUGACUGAAAAAAUAACCAUCUAUCUAUCUCAUUCAUAACAAAACAGCAAAAAGCAAAUCUCUCUAUUGUGAUUCUUCCUCCUCAGCAAACACAGAAGAAAUCCAUGGCAUUUUUUCUACAACUGACGACAGGGAAAGAUGCAACCAGCAGGGAAAAAAGUUACAACCGUCAAAUAGAAUAGCUACGGUGGUCAAGGCACAGAUCUGGAGGGCACCAUGGCGUCUGAGACAACAGGUCGCGGCUAGCUGUGGCAAAUCGCAACCUGGUAGAGGGGAGCGGCAAGCUAAACCUACAUCAAACCGUGGAGGAACAAAAAUCCUCCAAAAUCCCUAGCCACCAGCCACCCCUCCCUUUGAACAAAAUCGGCCCCCUGGAACAGCGACGACCCACCGCGCGCGACCACCCAGUCAAGCGCCACGGCGGCGACCACCCAGCACCACCGCGGCGAGCUAUCAGCGCUCUAACCCUAGCGCGAUUUGGGGGGAGAGAUCAAUAAAGGGGAGAGGACGUGGGAAGAGUUACCUUCCAGGGGGGGCAUAUGUCGCUGGAGAAUCGAGAUUCGCAAUGAGCUGCCGCCGCCGCUCCUGAUCUCCUGGCGCCAACAACCCCGUCGGCGUUCGGCCGUCGAACGCCACCGCCCGUGCUUCCUCUCUCUCCCUGCUCUGAAAUAUUACAACACAAUUGUAGCAAAAACUGCGCAAAAGGGAAAACCCCGUGGGUUUGGUAAGGUGGGGCGCACGCUUUGCUGACCGUUCGAUCUAACUUGAUCCAACGAGCCGCGUGCGUCCAGCGGAACGUUCAACCGGCAGUCUGGCUCCAUACGUUUUCCUUCAACAAAACACAAACUUUCAUCGUGGUCAUGGAUAGAUCAAUUAGGUUCGGGUCCAUGAGCACAAUUACAACCACCUUAUUAAGAUUCGCAUUCGCUAUGGGCUCAAGUGUGCAUCAUUCCCUUAACCAAACCACUGCCUAUGAGCCGUGUUCCCUUAACCAAGCACCUUAACCAAGCAGUGUGUUUCGUUCCCUUGACCAAACCACUGUCUAUGAGCCACGUUUCCUUAACCAAGCCUAUAAGUCGUGAGCUCAUUCUUCAACAGUCACACAAUCAGCCUUCAACAGUCACACAAUCAGAGAUCACUUCUCCUCCUACUACUUGGCAACUCGGUAUUGUUUCAUGUUCAUGUUUUAUUUCAAGAUCUAGUUCACUACUUUGCUAUCAGGUACCUAGGAGUAUUUAGCCUGGUUAUCUUAACCCACUUCUUAUACUUCACCCACACAAAAAGAAAAGAAAAGAAAAGAAAACCUAUCCCUAAACAGGUGGACAAGGACACCCUCAAUCCACCCAACUUCAUCCUGGAACCAAACAGCUAUAAGAGCAGGGAUCAGUUUCAGAUGCACGCAACGCCACUAGCUGGCUAAUAAUCUUUGUGUCCCAUGCCAAUUCAACACUUAAAUUUUGCGAGUUAUUACCAGACUUUUAUUCGCAAAAAAGAAGAAGAGACGGCGUACUUAUAUGAUUGCCAAAGUUCUCAAGUACAUAAGAUUGCCAAGAGUGGUGUAAAGACGAAUCAUACACAUUGAGCAUUCGAACACACAUAUUGCUCCACCACCAACUCACCAAGUCUAGCUUAGCAUCGUAUGUGAGCAGUAGGGGUAACCCUAUUUGUGAUAGCCAAAUUGGAAUUCUCCUCUGAAUGGAUGCAGCACACCACUACGAACGUAACACAUUUCACAUAUUUUCUCCACCCUGCUAUCUCCACAUGUACAUGUCCUCUUUAAACAAGGGUGCGGGAUAUUAAAGAGACGGUAGCAUGUCUUGCAAACGCAAUCCGCUGAAAAGAUAACACAGGAAAUCAGGCAACAGAGAAAAUGUAAGAGGGUAAUGUGGAGAGAGAGAGAGAGAGAGAGAGAGAGAGA